rnacentral:lncRNA from 1 species
AAUCAGCGUUCGGACCUCAUCGGAGCGAAUGCCGGAAAGCAUCUGAAGACGAUUGGAUGAUAGAAUCUCGAAAGAGGAGAUUCGCCGGAGAUUUCGCCAAUGGUCGCCGUAGGGAGCUGUGCCGAUGGCCGUAUAGUUGUAACCUAGGUGUUUGCCGGCGAUCAGGCGGGGGCGGUUGGCAAAAAUGAUGUCGUUCUUGGUGAAACAUUCCUCAGCAGCUGAAUGUGAGGAAACAAUGAGCACAGGCCGGUAACCGAAUCGCAAGAAGAGUAUGGGGCCAUGGCGGUCCGAAAUUUUGGAUAAGUUUCGGUGCAGCGGUUUCUUAAGGAGAUAGAGAUGGCCGAUCAAGGGCAAAAUGGGAAAUGGGCUUGGUGGGAGAUUGUGGAGCUUGUGAAGGAAGUGCCAUGUGAAGACAUACAAGGCUAAGAAAAUUGGGAUACAGAGGUACAGCAUCUCCAUGGAUGCCUAAAUAUCUAUUCUCAAUCCUCGAUGCCUACAGUACAGGUAUAAAAGUAUCAAGGUAAUGAGGCGUCCAAAAAAAUGACUUUAUAAAGACACAGAGAAAUUGGUAAAAAGGAAAGCAAAAUGUCAUGUGCCAUGGCGGUUUCCAUUACAUAAAAUUGGAGGGACAAGGAACUAAGUGGUUUCUCUUUCUCAUCUUCUUCUCAUCAUAUCAUGUGCCAUGGGAGGUCAGUCAACACUUUGCUUUAAUUUCCUCUGUUACUCGUACUUUUUUUCUUUUUUUUUUGUCAGAAUUGUCCUACACCACCAAGCAACUUUAGUCGGUUCGAGUAGUAAUAAACAAACUGUUGCCCAACCAUUUUGGGAAAAGUUGAAUUGUGGCAACUCAGCCUUUUCUUUCAAAUAGUGAAAAUAGGCCCUGAUCGACGGUGGGCGCGGGAGGAAUGACAGAUCAAGACUACUUCUUUAGCACUUAAUUCCUUACCAACUACGACUUCCGAGUGAAUCAGUGCUUAAUGGAAGCGGGAAUCUCUGAGUGAAUCAAUGCUAAAUGAAAGCGAGAACCUCUCUUUGAUGCGCCCAAUAUUUUAUGGGCGUUUAGAUGGGCCUUUCACUGGUAGUCCAGCAAAUUCCAAAUGCUUCAUCAUUUCACAGGCACCAAAGAACCCAAAACGUGUCACCAAAGUUGAGAAAGGAGGCUCACCAUGGAUGGUCGUGGUCUACACUUAGCCACCAAGGACUGAGCUUGGGGAAUGGUGAGUUCUGUUCCUUCGCUCAUGUCCACCCUCAUUGCCAAUCCUUCCCUGGGGCAAUCCCUCAUCCCAGCCCCCGAAAGGCGAAAACAUGAAUCCAUUUCUGUGUCCCUCGGGACCUUGGAAUCUCUCUGGCUUAAAAUUCGUGGGCUCUCUGCCCAUGCAUAACAUAGGAUCAGUUUGUAUAGCUCACAUGUUCACCAAAAGCAUUGUGCCACUUGGGACUCUGAAGCCUCCCACAGUGCACUCAUCGGAUGACUCGUGGGGUACUAGCAGUGAGGCAGCUGGGUACAUUCGGAGUGUCGCCUUAAUGAUGCCGUGCAGAUAGGGAAGCUCUGCUAUAUCUAAUUCAUCAAUCAGCCUGCUCCUUCCCAAGUGGGAGUCUAUUUCAGCCUGGGCUUUCACAAAGGUUUCUGGAUUGUUCAGCAAAAGUGACAUUGCCCACUUCAUUAGUUCAUUGUCCCAGCUGACGUGUCCCUCCAUGCUGAAUUGUCCCGUAUGUGCAUUAUUCUCUGCCCUCGAAGAAUUCACAUGUUAAAAGCCUUGCGUAGUUGGACAACUACACAGUCAUCUGGUCACAAUUUCUAAAUAAGGGAAUACUUGGAACGGCAUUACAUUACUUGUAGGACCAUUCUGCGAGCUUGAUUGGCUCGAUCAUUUUUAUACAAAGGGAUUGUCAAUUGCUUUCCAUGUUAAAAACUUCAACCUGGUGUAAACUUUGGCCAUCUCCUUCAACUGAUUUAUCCCUGUAUCCUUUAAGUGAAAUCAUCCCUUUUAUUAUUAUUAUUAUUAUUUUAUAAGUAACAGGAAGUGUACCUCUGAAGCUAGAAUCAUUAACAAUUUUUCUGUUUGUAUACAACGUAGGUCAAGAGAGAUUACUUGCAUCAUGCCUGUGAUGAUGUGACCUGUGUAGCAUUCAGGUUCAGUUUCUUGCAUUGAUACUAGGACGUCAAGCAUAGCCUUGCAUCCCCCUUACAAGAACUGCUCCUCAUUCUGCUGUGCUCUUCAAUCAAAUUCUGCAUGAAUCCAUCUCUUUUCCCUGCAUUAUCGCCAACUUGUUUUUUCCAGUCUAUUUCAUCGAGCGGUACAAAAUCUCCAACAUUUGUAGCCCCACUCAACUGAAAGGUCUUUGCCACUAUCUUCCGGACUUUCUUGUAUCCUCCGAUUCUCUUACAUUGUCACCUUGGUACCUCUUUCCUGGGAUCAUUCUCAUCGUAUUGUCAAGUGUCAACUCAAAAAUCAUCAGUUUCUUACCUUCAGAGCAAAUAUUAUUUUUGAACACCUUUGCAAACUUAUAUUUAAAGCAGCAAUUUUAUUGUUAUCACCCAGAGCCACUUGAUUUUAUUUUUAUUCUUUUAAAUAGAUUGGAAUCACUUCUUCAAAACGUAGUUCCAAAUCAGAUUAAAGAAACCAUAUUUUAAAAAUGCAAUUUCAACCUAAUUUAGAAAAAUAAAAUAAAAUCAUGUGACUCCUAGACAUUAGUAAAAUGACUGUUUUGAGUAUAAGCUUGAGAAGGUGUUUAAAGAUAUAUUUAUUGUGUCGUAAAAGCUAUUUUUGGUCCCAAACUCUUCCCUUGCAUUGAUCUAUUGAAGGAUUGUCAAGAAUAUUACUAUUGGAGAGGCCUACUCUAUGAUUUGGAUGUGACUUUGAUGGAAUGUGAAUAUAUCGUCCAUCGCAACUAGUAGUCUUUCUUGAUCGGAUCAAGACUUGAAAGCUUGAAUUCAAGUUUACCUCAAUGUUUCUGGUUCCAAGAUUUCCUUUUGCCUCGAGCUCAUACAAACAAUAAAACAACUGAAGAAAACGAUAAUGAGUAUCGAGAGGUUCGAUAGUGUUAGCGUUUUUACAUGAAAUGUUUUUAUUGAAUUUUUUUUUUAAAUGUUAAAAAAAAUAUAUAUGUAUUAAAUAUUUCUCUUUAAAAUACCAUAAAUAUUUUUUUUUUUAAUUAUAAGUAAUUUUUUAAAAUUUUAAAAAUAUUUUCUAGGUUUUAUCAAAUAUUUAAUUUUUCUUCAAAAACAUUUUUUUAUAAGUUGAAAGUAGUGGUUAAAAAUCCUGUCAAACGUACAUCGAUUCUGACCUUUUUGAGAGGAACAUGUCCCAUUAUAAAAAUUUUGCACCUCAUACGCCCAUCAUAAUAUUUUUGCAGCUCCGAAUUUAAAUGUUGAUCCACAAUGACAUGCAAAACUAGUUGCUGUCAUCGUCCUCACAUUCAUCCAUAUCCUAUUAGGAAUUAUUUCAAAAGAUAUCAGUUGUAAUCAAUGUUUGGAUGGUAAAGAAAUCAAUGCAAUGGCCUUUGUACCACUCCAGCUCUCAUAAAUAAGGAAAGCGACCUAUAUCUUAUCUUAUAUACCAUAUCUCCAACAAUAGUGUCACACAUUCCAAGAAAACAUUUAAUGGAGAGUAGAGACAUACAACACUCGCAUCCCUGGGCCAUUCUAGAAAUGCCUAAGAAACUAGCCAUGUGGGGGCUUGGGGCUUGAUUGUUUCAGAGUUGGGAAAAGAGGUUGACCAUGGUUGGACGAGGCCGACACUUCGCCAGUAAAGGCUGAGCCUUAGGCAGAGUGAGACCACCCCCCUCAGUCAUGUCCACCAUCUGCUCAUCAACCCUCUCCCAAUCAAAGCACUGAAUGAGAGAACCCAAGGCCAGCCCAACUAUGCGGAUGGCUAGGGCCUCCCCUGGACAACCUCGUCUCCCUGACCCAAAAGGAACAAACUUGAACCCAUCUCGAUCCCCUUCUACACCCUCGAAUCUCUCUGGCCUGAAUUCUGUGGGAUCACCCCAAAUUUUGUGGUCACUUUGUAUAGCCCACAGAUUAACAAGCAGCAUGGUGCCUUGUGGGAUGCGAAACCCUCCUACAGAGCACUCCUUUGACGACUCAUGAGGGACUAGCAAUGGGCCUGCCGGAUACAUACGCAGUGUCUCCUUAAUGAUGCUUCGGAGAUAAGGAAGCUGGGCUAGGUCCAGUUCCUCAAUCAGACGAUCAUGUCCCAAGCGGUCGUCAAUCUCUUGAUGUGCCUUCUUAAGGACUUUUGGAUUGUUCAGCAAAAGCGACAAUGCCCAUUCCAUGGUCCCAGCCGAGGUAUCUGUUCCUCCGGUCAACAUAGACUGCGUGCAAAGACAAGUAAUCAGAUUAGGUUUUGUACUUCAAAGAAUUGAUGGGAGAAGAGUUCAGCAAAGUCGAAUAGUAGGUAACAGAAAGAAGCAAGCAAUAUUCACUGGGCAAUCCCAUUUUCAGAACCUCUUUCCUUCAACAGGAAAGCAGACCAAAUUAUUUGAACAUUGCACUGAAAGUCGCCAAGACUCAACAAAUCCGACAUUGGCACCCCUUAGGGUAUUUGAAUGUUUGUCCACAGAAAUGGAAAUUGUUUAUUUUGAAUUUUUUUCAUGGUUCAGAAAGAAUUUGACAAGUUAUUGCUAAUUAUCGUAUAAGAUUGUAUUUUGCAAAUUUAAUCAGAUGAAUUUUGCGAAUUCAAUCAGAUGAAUUUUUCAUUUUAAAUCUAUAAAUUUUGGAGAAGGAAAUAUGGAUCUUACUAGCAUGAGGCCUCUGAUGAUCUCGUCUGUAUAGUACUCAGGCUCUGUCUCUUGCAGCGAUAACAGAACUUCAAUCAUCGUCUUCUGCCUCCCUUCGCAGUUACUUCCCUUCCUUCUGUGCUCUUCUAUCAAAUUCUGUAUGAAGCUCUCUCGCCUUUUUUGCAACUUAAUCAACCUCCUCUCUGUCCCUUUCAACCCUAGCCAGCCCAAAAUUGGUAAGAAAUCUACCAUAUUCGUCGCACCUGCUAACUGGAACGUCUCCGACACCAUCUCUCGAAACAUCCUAGCCUCCUCCACCUCCCCGAUAUUCUCACCAUAAUACCGCUUUCCGCCGAUCAUCUUCAUCAUCACAUUAAGUGUCAUCUCGAAGAACGCAGAUUUCAUUUCCACCAUCUGACUUUGAUUCUUAAAAAGCCAGCGAACCAGAGAUCGGACUUCAUCGGAGCGAAUGCCGGAAAGCGUCUGAAGACGAUUGGAUGAUAGAAUCUCGAAAGAGGAAAUUCGCCGGAGAUUUCGCCAAUGGUCGCCGUGGGGGGCCCAGCUCAUGGAUGUAUAGUUGUAACCUAGGUGUUUGCCGGCGAUCAGGCGAGGGCGGUUGGCAAAAACGACGUCGUUCUUGGUGAAACAUUCCUCAGAGGCUGAAGGUGAGGAAACAAGGAGUACAGGCCGGGAACCGAAUCGAAGGAAGAGUAUGGGGCCGUGGCGGUCCGAAAUUUUGGAUAAGGUUCGGUGCAGCGGUUUCUUAAGGAGAUAGAGAUGGCCGAUCAAGGGCAAAGUGGGGAAGGGACUUGGUGGGAGAUUGCGGAACUUGUGAAGGAAGUGCGAUGUGAAGACAUACAAGACAAAGAAAAGUGGGAUAUAGAAGUACAGCAUCUCCAUGGAUGCCUAAAUAUCUAUUCUGCCAGACUGCCCCUGCUACCGGUGGAGUCUCGGCCCUCCAUCCCGACACUCCAUUUCCACUGGUUUCAAGUUCGACUUUUUAAGUCCACACAACUUGUUAGAAAUGACUAUUAAAAUAGCUAUUUAAUCGGAUGAGAUAAAUCAUAAGUCAUAUCUUCCAAACAAUGACCUCCGUCUUAAACACAUUUUGAGAAAAUAAAAAAAUAAUAAAAAUAAAAAUUCCUCGGGUUAAAAUGAUUUAAUGACUCAAUUGAAGUUAUUAAAUAGAUUAAAUAUAUUUGAUAACUUAAUAUUUUAAUUUAAAAUUAAAAAAUUAUUUUAAUUAUUAAAUUAAAAUAAUUAACUUAUUUUUAAUUCUAAAUUUUUUUUAUCUUAUUUAUUCACAUCUAAAGAAAAUAUAUUUAUUAAUCAUUACUCCAUAUUUAUAAUUCAUUUUUUAUAAGAAAUAUUUUAAAUUUAUUUUAUAUAUAUAUAAAAGUAAUACUUUUAAGUACAAAUAUUUAAUAAAUAAAUUAAUUGCUUAAGAUUAAUGAAAAUAAAUAUUACUUAAAAAUAACGGUGAUAAAUAUUAAUUAUAAUUAAUAAGAGUAUAUAUAUAUAUACAUGCUAAUUUGAUAAUUUAAAAUAAAUUUUAUGUUAAUUUCAUUAAACAAUUUUAAUGUUUAAAGUAAAAAAUAAGAAAUAAGUUUUAAUUUAAUAAAUUAAAAAUAAUUUGAUUUAAAAUCAAUUUUAAUUAUUAAGUAAUAAAUAUUAAGUUUUAUUAAAUAUGUACGUUUUUUUCAGAAUUAUCAAGCACCAUUAAGCCUGAGGUAAAGAUGUGGUAACUCACAACAGUUCAUUUGAUUAGAUAUGAUUUUCUUUUAUAAUUUUAGUGGGCUCAUUAGGUAGGCGUGCAAAUGAACAAAUUAUUGCCCCAACAUUUUUGGGAAAGUUGAAUUGUGGCAUCCUGCAGUAGUGGUAUAGGUUUCACCAAUCUUACAUGGGAGUCUAUGUGGACAAGGUAUUAAUUUUAUUACUAUGAUAUUUAAUAAAAUGGCAUUAUGACUUGAAUUUCAUGGCCAUUGAUAACUAGUUUAUGGGUGUUUAGAUGGGGAUUUCACUGGCAGCCUGGCAAAUUCCAAAUGCUUUAUCACUUGCACAUGAGGUUAGCAGGAUAGAAGGGAACAAAAAGUAGAGAAUUUGUUUGGAUGAACAAAUGAAGCAAAUGCAUACUGUGAGCCCAAGCCAAGAUGAGUCUGCUGCAUUUCCAUGCACAUCAUCAACUAAAGUGGAAGCCGGAAGGGUGGAAGGGCCGAUACUCUGGAGGCUAUAAGCCGUAUUCCAAUGAUAAACUUCACAAACCAAAGGACCCAAAAAGUGUCCCUAAAGUUGAGAAAGGAGGCUCACCAUGGAUGGUCGUGGUCUACACUUAGCCACCAAGGACUGAGCUUUGGGCAUGGUGAGCCCUGUUCCUUCGCUCAUGUCCACCAUCUCCUCAUCAACUCUCUCCCACUCGAAGAACUGAAUCAGUGAGCCUAAGGCCAACCCAACCACCCGCAUUGCCAAUCCUUCCCCGGGGCACCCCCUCCUCCCAGCCCCAAAAGGCGAAAACAUGAAUCCAUUUCUUUGUCCCUCUGGACCUUGGAAUCUCUCUGGCUUAAAUUUUGAAGGCUCUGCCCAUAACAUAGGAUCAUUUUGUAUAGCCCACAUGUUCACCAACAGCAUUGUACCACUUGGGACUCUGAAACCCCCCACAGUGCACUCCUCGGAUGACUCGUGGGGUACUAGCAGUGGAGCAGCUGGGUACAUUCGGAGUGUCUCCUUAAUAAUGCCACGGAGAUAGGGAAGCUCUGCUAUAUCUAAUUCAUCAAUCAGCCUGCUUUUUCCCAAGUGGGAGUCUAUUUCAGCCUGGGCUUUCUCAAGGGCUUCUGGAUUGUUCAGCAAAAGUGACAUUGCCCACUCCAUUGUCCCAGCUGAAGUGUCGGUUCCUGCUGAUAACAUGACCUACACACAAAGUAUAACAAUCUGCAUUAUUCACUGCCCCAAAGAACUCACAUGUUUAAAACCUUUUAUAGUUGGACAAGUACAGUCGUUUGGCCACAAUUUCUAAAUAAGAGAAUACUUUGGAACAGCAUGAUAUUACUUGCAGGCCCAUUCUUUGAGUUUGAUUGGUUUGAUCAUUUUCUAUAUAAAGGGAUUCUCAAUUGCUUUCCAGAUUAAGAACCACAACUUGACAUAAAGUUUGGCCAUCGCCUUCCACUAAUUUACCUCAGUAUCUUUUUAGUGAAAACCGAGAUUAUCCCGUAUAGAAUGGAAUUACUUAAGAGGCAAUUUCUGAAAACUAUAUUUCCUGAUAGAGUUGAUUGAGGUGAGUUGAAUAUUUUUUUCAAGUAACAAGAAGGUUUACCUCUGAAGCUAGAAUAAUUAAUAGUUUGUCUAGAGUGUAGGUGAAGAGAGAUUACUUGCAUCAUGCCUCUAAUGAUGUCAUCUGUAUAGCAUUCAGGUUCAGUUUCUUGCAAUGAUAAUAGGACAUCAAGCAUAGUCUUGCUCCUCCCUUCACAAGGACUUCUCAUUCUUCUGUGCUCUUCAAUCAAAUUCUGCAUGAAUCCAUCUCUUUUCCCCUGCAAUAUCACCAACUUCUUUUCGAUUCCAUUUAAUCCAAUCCACUUCGAGAAUGGUACAAAAUCUACAAUAUUGGUUGCCCCACUCAACUCAAAGGUCUCUGCCACUAUCUCCCGAAACUUUCUUGUUUCCUCCAAUUCUGUAACAUUGUCACCGUAGUACCUCUUUCCUGAGAUCAUUCUCAUCAUAUUGUUAAGUGUCAGCUCAAAAAACAUGGAUUUCAUAUCCACAGCAGAAAAUUGACCUUCACUGGAGGCUCUGAAGAGCUGGCAAAGUAGUGCCCGGACCUCAUCAAUCCGGAUGUCAUAGAACAUCUGAAGCCUAUUGGAUGACAAUAUCUCCAGGGAAGCUAUACGCCUUAAAUUGCGCCAAUGUUGACCAUAUGGUGCCCAGGUAAGAGUGGUGUAAUUGUAACCCAGGUGUUUUCCAGCCAGUAGGCGGGGGCGGUUUGCAAAAACAAUGUCGUUUUUGGUGAAGCAUUCCUCCGCGGCAGAGGGGGAAGACACAAUGAUGACAGGGCGAGAGCCAAAUCUGAUGAACAGGAUUGGACCAUAUUGGUUAGAAAUUUUAGCAAAGGUGCGAUGAAGGGGUUUCUUGAAGAGGUGGAGAUGACCUAUUAUGGGUAGGGAGAGAGGAGGACUUGGUGGGAGUUUUUUGUUGGAUUGGAAAAAGUGCUUGGUAAGAAAGUAUAUGAAGAGGAAGAGCAGAAUGUAGCAAUAAGAGGUGUCCAUGGAUGUACUGAUGGCCUGAAAGUUGAUGUACUUGGAGUAAGCAUCAGCCACCCUUGAAGGAUAGUAACCCCUGUUCACCAUGGUUGAUAGCCUAGCAACAGCAUACCAUGUUUGCAAAUUUGCAAUAAAAGGAUCAGUAGUUGGCAUCCAUCACUGAUGGUUUAUUCUAGUAUAUAUGGACCCAUCAAAUGUAUAUAUGGAGCAGACCAAUGCCAUUCAACCCUGACGCUUUUUCUUAUCUCCUUAGAUGCCUUUGGGAUAACUGGAUCCAAUGUUUUGAUGAGGCCAAACUGCUGCCCAAAAUUUUAAAAACUGUAUGUUCGACAUAAAUUGACAGACUUAUCCAUCAAGGGACCAGCCUAGCCUGUCUCAUAUACUUUUUCCUUGUGUAGAAUAUUAUUUUUGGACCACUGCCCUUUGUUAUUAGCCCACGUCGAUGAUAGGAACGAAGUAAGAUUUGUUAUGUUUGAUUGUAGUUUUCCAAACAUUAGGACUUUAUGCUUUGUUAGGCGGCUUUCUUAUAAAGAAAAUCUUCUACCAUUUAGCAUGGGAAAGGCAUAUUCCUUGAAAGGGCAGGAGUUGUCCUUGUGGAGAAAUUGUGAUGCGGUAACUCCAUCUGAACUAAGUUGCUCCAAGAAAUAAUAAUGACAACAAUAUAUUUUGUGUGAGAGAUUAAUCAGUGGCUCCAUCAUGUCUGCCUCAGACUGAGCUGAAUCCUAGUUUGUUGAUUUUAGUCUCUCUGGAGUAGUGGAACUCAUUUAACACAACAAUUAGUUCAACCCUGGAAAGCAGAAGAACAAGGCUCAAGGGGGACAACAAUCAUUAUAGUGAUGAAUAAGUAACACAAACUCAUUGUACAGCAAUUUGAUAAUAUCCCCUUUUUUUCAAUUACAAACACCUUAAAGAAAUAGAAUUUUGGUUGAUGCUCUGGCUGGCAAGACAAAUUAACUCCCUUUAUGCUCAUAUUUCCAUGUAGCGCUUGAACUCAGUCAACAUGGGCACAAGAUCUGGGGAUAUGAAAUUCCUUCCUAAACAUAAUCACGUAAAACCACAAGCUUGAGGAUUUAGACCCUAAGGAGUGAACAAUUUUCUUACUUUGUGAAUGAACCUUCGACAUAUUGGACAAACCUUGUUCUCCCCUUCUAUAAUCCUGCAAAAUGCAUGCUUAUGAGAUCACUAAAUGGUUACUUGAUGAAAUGAAUACAAAAAUAUUUGGGAGUGGGCACCUUUUAGCACAGUCAUAGCAGGUGGCACAAUGACCACAGGGAACAAAGAAGCAGUUCCGUGGCUCAUCGUAGCAAAUAGUGCAAAUCUUCCCAUCAUACAAAUCCUCUGAGGAGCUGCUAGACAUUCCUGAUUCUGCAUCUUCUUCACCUGUUCCAUAGGUGAGCCGAAAUAGCUUCUCUGGCAUUAAGGGGUGAGUUUCAGUUACUUCCCGAGGCGUUAUCUCCUCUACAUGUACUUCGUUGUCUCCCUCGCAGGCUCCAAGGUAUUUCAAUACCAGAAAUAUAAUAAUUACGACAAAUCCUGUGAACAAAACAUCCAGAAGUCUAGCUACAGACAGAUUAAUAAUCAAACAAAAUUUGAGCUCAAUACAAUACCUAAAAUCGAAACGUAGGUUACCACACGAGCCACAAAAGAAAGCUCAAUGUACCAUCCAGCAAGAUCUCCCUGUAAUUACGUUGUCCAUUAAGGUUAAUUGGGUGAAAAAGUCAUGGAUUUUAGUUGAAAAAAUCAUGUAGAGGUGUGAACUUACAUUGUUGGGUGUGGUUAGUAUGACAAAUUGAGUAUUGGGGAAGAGAAGAUUGAGACGACAGGAUCCCUUUAUUGUUGAACACAUGCUCUUUGCCUUAGUGAUAUCGUACAUCUUGGAUGUAACAUUAACAUUCAAUGUCAUUAUGACGCUUUUACGAUUGGCGUUUAUGAUGCCUACAUAGUAUCUAUUGUCUUCCAGGAUUGUGUAUUCGGCUUCUCUCCCUGUACAUAUAAAUAUUAUGUUAAUGUUAUCCACUAGAUCAUCGGUAACCUCUUUGAGGAACCAAUUUUGUAGAAGGCCAUUAACUUGCUCCAAGGGAGGAAAUUAAUGGCUGGAAGGAGCUGGCUAGAGAACAAUGGACUGUGUUACCAUUUGUUGAUUCAUGGAAGGGAAAGGCAGCAGGGGAAUUUGUUGGAUUCGGCAGCAAAGUUUCGUAUUUUCGUUCCCCUGCAACAGAGAUGUAUUCAGGUGGUAUUUAUUAGAUACAAAGUUCAAAUCCAAUUGAAAUUAAUAAGAUCUUUUUCUAAAAUUAUUUAAGAAAGGAAAUGAUGAUAAAUUGAAGGCAACCUUUAAUUAGAAACACUUGCAGAUCACUCAAACUACUAGGUUGAGCUUCCCAUCUGACACGGAUACUCGAACCUUUAUUCAACCACAAGGAGAAUCCCUGAAAAGGCCGUCCAUUUUAAGGAGGGAAAUAGAUCAAGGUCUUUUUUUUUUGAAAGAUAAAAUAAAAUAAAAAUUAAAUUAAACAAAAACUUCUGUAAAUUACCUUUCGGCCAUAGGAUCCAACGAUGAGAUAAUUGGAGACGCUCCAAUUUGUUUCGACACUCAAUUCUGGCUUCUCCGCAAACCCGUAAAGAAGAACCCCCUUUUUAUCAUCGUCCUUCACUUCAAUCUGCUUUACAAAAAGGGAACUUGCCUUCAUCAAGCGGGAGGAGCUUGGUCCAAGCACCAUUCGGCAGUUCCCGUAAUACCCAUAUCGAAUGCUGACCGUGACUGCAAAAGCAAGAAAAGAGAUUGUCGUUUCAAAAUGCAGGGUCAAGGAAGGAGCAACUGCCAAAGAAAUGAAAUUUUACAUGCCACAUAGCCAUAGAGUUAAAGGAGCAAGCAAGCGAGCGGUGGACUCUUGCCACCCCUGAUGACGACUGGGAGGUGCCAACACUGGUCUGUACAUUCUCCCUUCGGGGAAUAGGAAAUAGGGAAUAGCAACGAGGGCUGAAACAAAGAGAAAGAAGGGGCGAGCCAGGAAGAGACACAACUCAGAGCUAAUGGUCUAAACUAUGGAGGGAGGACUGGUAGAUUUCACUACACAAGUUCCAACUAACCGUUUCUUUCUUAGAUUGGCGGGUAAUGAAUGGCAAUUUUCUUUUCUUUUAUAUUUUGAAUGUUAGGUGUUGGUUAUUUGGCAUAUGCUGACCUACACCAUUCACCAACCCAGCUUCCUUCUAUUACACUUUCUCCAUUCUUUCUUCAAUUUCUGCGUCUGAAUUUUUAGAACUCAAAAUUUUUUAUUUCGAGUUUAAUUGUUUAAAGUCACAGUGAUGCAAUGAAUCCCAUUCUUUCAAGAAGAUUGAUUUAAUAAUUGGACACUCAUUUAAUUGCACUUUUUAUUAUUUUUUACUAUUUAAUAUUAAAAGUCUAACAUAUCAAAAAACUAAGAAGAUGGAAAUAAAAAAUUAAUAAUUAUUGUAUUUCAUUUUUAACCAAUUAUUUAUCCAAGGAUACAACAUAUCUCAUAAAUUAAAUAUUUUUUUUCAUUCAUUUUAUUAAUUUUUAAAUUGUUUAUAUAUAUAUAUAUAUAACAUAGUUUAAAUAAAACAAAUACGAAUGAAUAUAUAAAAAUAUUUUUUUUUUUAACUUUAAGACAUCAUGUUUGUUUCUCAAAAUUAUUAAAAAAUACUGUGAAAAUUUAUCAUAGAAAAUGAGUUAUUGGAUCAACUAAAUUGGUAUUGGAGUUUUUGGAUUCUUAAACUAGUAUUUGAAUUAGGUUAUAUUUGAUUCUCGUAAAAUAUUUGAGAAAAAAACAUAAAAAAUAAAAAAAAAAUCAAAUAUAAUUAAAAUUAAUUAAAAUUUUACAUUUUUUAGAAUUAUUUAAUAUCUACAUAAAAGAAAAAAAAUAGUUAAAUAAAUUUAAAUAAGAUGCAAAAAUGAUUUACCAAUUUUAAAUCUAUGUUUUAUAUUUUUAUUCAAAUUCUUCGAAAAUCAAAUAUAAUCUUAAAAGUAGAAUUAUAUUUUUUAUUUGAAAUGAAGGAAAGUUUAAUAUUAUUAUUAUUAUUAUUAUUAUUAUUAUUAUUAUUAUUAAGCAUUUCUCUUGGAAGAUGCUGAAUAAAAUGUCACAAUUAUUAUUUAAGAAUUUAAAUUAAAUUAUUUUUAAAAUUAUUAACUUAAAAUUUAUUAAUUUAUUUUUAUUUUAAAUAUUAAACCCAUCUUAUAAAGGUGGACAGUUCAUAUAUAUAUGUUAAGCAUUUCUCUUUGAAGAUGCUGAAUAAAAUGUCAUAAUUAUUAUUUAAGAAUUUAAAUUAAAUUAUUAAUUUAAAAUUUAUUACUUCCCUUUUAUUUUAAAUAUUAAACGCAUCUUAAAACUUAACCCGUAUCUUGAACCGGGGGAUCCUAUAAAGGUAGACGGUUCAUACAAAACCGAAAGGUUCUAUUUCCCUUUUUAUAUUUUCACCCCUCUUGGGCCCACCACCAUCCAUUUUUGCCCUUUCUUUUGGCCUUUUUCCUCCUGGGUCCCACCUUGGCAGCCCACUGCCAGCUUUUGGCCUUUUUUUUUUAAUCAUUUUUUAAAAUAAAAAAAAAAAGGUUUAUUACGAUACACUACACAUGCUUCGAAUAAAUAAAAAAUCAAAAUAUUUAUAUUUAAUUCAAAUUUUCCUCGCCCUCACUAAAAUAUAAUAUCCAUUCAAAUCAAAUGUAGAAUUUGGGUAAUCAAAAGUAUUAAUUUAUUUUUAAUUAAAUGUAUUAAGUUUUCCAUAAAAAAAAAAAAGAAAAAAAAAAAGAAGCAAGUGACUACCUCUGUCCCUAUAUGUCAUUUACCUACACUAAAUAUAUUGAUUGUGUUGAUAUUUGUAUCAAAACCAAAUAUUAAUAUAAUAAAAUCAUAAGGCUAAUAAAAUUUGAAUAAAAAUAAUAAAUUUUUAUUUCACUCUUUAAUACAUAAUAUAUCUUCUUAAUAAGCAAAAAUUAUGAUUUUACUAUUUAAUAAAAUAAAAAUUAUUAAUUCAUUUAUAUGUUAUACUUAUCAUGAUUUAUUAUAAUAAUAUGAAAAAUAAAAUAAUAAAGUAUUUUAAGUUUUUAAUUAUUUACAUAUAAUUUUAACUUCUAUUCAAUAUUUUUAUUUUUCGUGGAGCAGCUGGAUUAUUCAACAAUAACUUCUUUAAUUGAUUCUAAUUCUAAAAACAUUAAUAUUUACUAUAAAAGAAAAUUGAGUAAUGAUAUUAUUUUGACUUGGGUGGUGUUUGUUUUUUUGGCUUUUUACUGAAAGCAAUUUAGUUUUAGAAUUUAGAUUGUUUGUUUUUUUAUUUUUUCAUCAUUUAUUAUAAACUUUUUACUAAAUAGAAAAAGUCAAAAUAUGUAACUUUUUUUAAAUAGAAAAAAUAAUAUAUUGGUUUUUUUUACUUUUUAAUAUUUAAUAGAAAUAAAAUACUAUAAAAACAAACAACCUAAUAUUUAACACUAUUAAGUAUUAAGGUUCUAUUUAGAUGAAGUAAAAAAAUAAACACCACCUUAAUGCUCAACUUUAUUUUUAAUUUUAAAAUUGUGACAUUAAGGUGGUAUUUGUUUUUUUACUUAAUUCUAAAUAGAACCUUAAUACUUAAUAGUAUUAAAUAUUAGGUUGUUUGUUUUUGUAGUAUUUUAUUUCUAUUAAGUAUUAAAAAGUAAAAAAAAAUCAUUGUGUUAUUUUUUCUAUUUAGAAAAAGCCACAUAUUUUGGUUUUUUAUAUUUAGUAAAAAGUUUAUAGUAAGUCAUGAAAAAGUAAAAAAACAAACAACCUAAAUUUUAAAACUAAAUGGUUUUCAGAAAAAAGCCAAAAAAACAAACACCACCUAAGUUAUUUUUUAAAUAUAUCUAAUUUACUUGAUUUACCAAAUGUCAUAUUUAUUUAUUUCUUUAUUUAAAAUGAUGUGAGUGUUAAGAGAGUAAAGAUGGGUGUGUUUAACAUUACCCUAAAAAUAAUGAAAACCCAUUACAAGGAGGGCCAUUGAGAAGCAGAAAAUUUUGAUACUCAUAUGGGAGGUGAUAAUGCUAUACAUGUCAUUAUACAUGCAUAAUGAGACAGUAUACCGAUAUUAAAAAAUGAUUGUGGUGUAUCAUAUCCGUCAAUCUUCGGCAAAGCUUUUUUGCCGAAGACAAGGGACAAGAGGGCUGGAGGUGGCAGUGACAAGUAGGCCUUGCAGGUGAGGCGUGGGAUGAAGAGCAGAAUUAGGCUGGAAGAAAACAAAGAGAGUGAGGACACGUUGCUAAUGCCUGGCCUCUGGCUCGACACUGGUAUCAUCCUCGUCAUCCCCGCCCUCACAAACUCGAACUACCACUGCCUGCUACCUGAGAGAUUUAGCCUGCCACUCCACCUCUUCACCCUCCAACAUAUGAUCAGCUUUAAUCGAGCCUUCUUCCCUGUCCUAGUUUUUAUCACCAUUACUUAAUUACUGCAAUUUCCCCUCUGGGAUACAGAAUGGGACCCCAGCAGGAAAAAAACGAACUUCUUUAGUAGUCUUUUGUUGAGAUAUUUAUCCUUAGAGACCGCUGCACAUGUGGUGAAAUUGAAAUAUAAAAGAGGGGUGCAUGCAACCACAAGAAAAAAGUGUAACAAGUGGAGGCAAAUGCAUUGCUUGCUGACAGUACUGAUAUGUGCACACCUAUUGUUGAUACUGUGGGCACCUUCAAGACCGAAGGUGUGAAACAACCACAGUCGCCUGGUAGGGAGAGUUGUAGGAGUCUAUCCCUCUUAAGUGAUAAUGUUGUGUGCCCCUAUCACUUCCUUACUAGAAGCACCAACUAGGCGAUGCACCGCCAUAUAUCCGCUCUUUCUCUUGUCAUCUUCUUUGAAUGGCCUGACAAUGACAAAAACCAUGGUUUAUAUAUCCUUGUUUUCUAAGCCUUGCUUUUGCACCAUCCUUUUUCUUCCUCCAUUAGUUUCCAAACGCGGCGAUUUACUUUUGUGAGGUUUGUUGAUUUUAUAUCUUCAGGGGGGCAUCUGAGAGUGACAGAUUUGAUUCUCUCCCUAUUCACUGCUUCUUAUAAAACUCAUCCUCCUCAAAGAGUACUGUGGGCUUCCAAGAAAAGGAAAUAAACCUCAAAAAUUAAAGAGGUCAGAGAUGGGGAGGGUGAAGCUUCAAAUCAAGAAAAUUGAGAACACAACGAAUAGGCAGGUCACCUUCUCAAAAAGGAGAAAUGGGCUUAUCAAGAAAGCUUAUGAACUUUCUGUUCUCUGUGAUGUUGAUGUGGCUCUCAUCAUGUUUUCCCCAUCUGGAAGAGUCAGUCUCUUCUCUGGAAAUAAGAGGUCUGCUGGAGAUAUGGAUUCACCGCAUCUUCUGCUCUUUUCUUCUCUUCCCAUUUUUAUUUUUUAUUUAAAUAAAUGAUCAUGUCUUCUCAUCCAUAUAUGUUUCAACUAAAUCUAUUUGAUUGUUCAUAAGUGACCUGAUUUGUUUUUUUGAUUUGUUGAAGCAUCGAAGAGAUCAUGACUCGGUAUGUAAAUCUUCCUGAACAUGAACGAGGCCGGUAAGGAUAUAUCUUGGUUCUAGUAAUUUUACAUAGAAAUAUCUUUUUUGUUGUGCUGAUGUUGAUGGCUUUUUCUCUCUCUGAUAUGGAUGUAACUGUGCUUUUACGUGCAACAAAAAAGGCUGCAUAAUCAAGAGGUGAGCACUUCCUACCUAGAUAUUAUCAUUCAGCGGGCUGCCAUACUUUUAGGGCUUGUUGCCAAUUUGUUAGAAAUGAUGAAUUUUUCAUUUUUUUGCAGUUCCUACAAAGGGCUCUUGGUAAGUUGAAAAGUGAAGCUAAUCGAACCUAUCAAGCUGCAGCCAGGUUAAGAUCCUUCCUCUUUGGAAAGCCCCCUGCUUAAUUUCUCAAUUUAUCUUGAUGACUUCAUUCCCAAGUUUUUGUUCAUUUGGGGUUUGUCAAUAAUGUCCACUUUUUGCUAUUUUGCUCGCUUCUUAUGCUUUUACUACUACUAUUUUUUCUUGCUGUUGCGUGGAGCAGCCCGAUGAGUACAGAUUCCCAACUCGAGGUAUUUUAUGCAUGAGAACUGAUUUGAUUUUCAGCUUUUUUCUGUGCUACUAAGACUAAAUUAUUACAUGGAUUACAGGAGAUUCAACAAGAGAUCCUCAAAUAUAAGUCCCAGUUGGAUGAUAUGCAGAAACGACUAAGGUAUACCAUUUCUAUAUUAUUCAUCUACCAGUAGCUAAAACCCUAAACUACAGCAACCUUUAUAGAAGAGAUAGGAAAUCAACAAGCUUCAUACCAUCAUAAUCUCACUCUUUUUAAAGGAUAUUUGAAGGUGAUCCUUCUGAGAUCACCACAGUGAGAGAGGUUGAGUACCGGGAGCAGAUCCUUGAGGAAACCUUGAAACAGGUUCGGUUUCAGAAGGUAAAAUCUACUGCUUAUUCAUAUUCCUCCCCAAGUAAACCCAAUCUUAUAUGCUAGCAACUUACCGAAUUCAUUACAUGCAUAACAGCAAGCUUUGGAGGAAAAGUAUAAUACUACAGAGCCGCAGCCAACUACCCAAGUAUGUAGAGAUUGUCUUCUUAAACUUUUCUUUGUUCAAUCAGUUUGAUAUCUCCCCAGAAAGGGAAGAUAGCUGAUGAAAUGGAUGAAGUGGACGAUUUAGAAAAAAAAAAAAAGCAAUGGCAAUUCUAUUUAUUUCUGUCAAAAAAAAAAUCUGAAGUACUUAACUUGUGGUUGCAAUCAGGUGCAUCUGCCUCCGGAGACUGCAAAUGUAAAUGGUUUUAUCUCAGGAAAUCCAAACAAUAUGUUGGAUUGGCUCCCACCAAGAGACCCACAAGUGCAGAUCCUGAAUUUUUUGGAUUCCAACGGUCUCCUCCCAAUGAGGUGCUUACACAGUUAUACUAGGGAAAAAAAAAAAGAAGUCCUGUUAGCAUUAAUAUGCAUAAGUUCUUUUACCUGACGACAGAAGCCAUAAUUUCUUCCUCCUUAUUUGUUCUUGUUUUCGCAGAGAGCAACCACAGCGCAUGGUUGAAAUCUUACCGCCAUCUUCAACCCUCCUUCCAGGACAAAACAUUCAUCUUGAGGAUCACAUGAGCCCGAGCAGCGGGAUGGAGGAAGAUAAUAAUGUGCAGCGUCCUCAGUUUGGCCCAGCUAUCGAUGUAAACCUUUCUCCGUGGGCUGAAUUUUAUCCGACAGCAGGUACUUCACUAACAUCGUCUGUUCUUUGAAAUAAGUUUUCAUUUCACGUAACUAAAUUGCAUCAAACACCAGCUCUCUUUGCCCAUCAGAUUCAUCCUGUCAACGAAAAUGGUGCAAAUGAAAGUAUAAAACCCUAGGUGAAGCAACACAUCCUUCGGAGGGUCUCAAUAGGGCUAUUACGGAAAGCUGUAGUUUUGCAUAUUGAGUAGAAGUUCCUUUGAUAGUAAAGUCCAGACAGUAAUCAUGGACUUAAUUUACCUCUUCGCAACAUGGUAGAGUUGAAUUUGGGAGUCCUAGUUAAGCGAUUUUACAAAUAAAUUGUGACAAGUCAGAUAUGUUGGCAGGGAAUGGCUCCUAUCCUGCAGCACAGCCCCGGGGACCGGCACUACUUGAACUGUUUCUGUCUCAGUUCACACCAUGAAUCAUCAACAUAUCCAUCCAUGGUACACAGAUAUCACGUGUGAUGUUUAUACUUUGUUUUUGCCUUUACUGGCGGUGGUAUUGUUAUGUCUCUAUCUAUACCUUGUUGAGUGUUUAGAAAUAGUAAGGUAACUUAAAUGAUUGUUUUUUUACCCUCCUAUAAUCUUAUAAGAAAUUUAUUUAAUAUUACUAGUAGUUGUUUCUAUUUAUAUGGAUAAAUUUGAUCAUCUCAUGCAUCAUACACAUGGAAUACAUAUACAUAAUCUUCUGUCAUAUACUUCCACGUAUCACAGGAGGUUGAAAUUCCCAUUGGGAAAGGGUACUGGAAAGGCUUAGCUGAGGCCAUGAAGAUCUAUUCAAAUUAAUCAAACCUAUGGUCCCCGUCACGUAUAUAUAAUAUAAAAGAUGAAGGUUUAUAUACGUGGGAUUCAUCAAUCUUAAUUUGAAUAGUCUCUCUUUCGGGUUGACCCAAUGAUGUAUCCUCGGACCUCAGCCAUUUUAUGGGGUCUUCCCACUCAUUUAGUUGGAUGCAAUUAAGUCUUCCACACCUUUGAAGCCAUUGCCUGCCCACCUGGGAUUCAUCAAUCUUAAUUUGAAUAGUCUCACUUUCGGGUUGACCCGAUGAUGUAUCCUCAGAUAUUUUAUGCAGUUGGAUGCAAUUAAGUCUUCCACACCUUUGAAGUCAAUGCCUGCCCCAAUUAUGAAACAAUAUUAAAGAUGAUUUUUAAUAAGGUUAAAGGUCAUCACAUCCGUUAGCAAUGGCGGUGGGUGCCCUUAAAUUUUAUUUAUCCAAGUAGCUUGGUGUUCAAAAGUCAGAAAAGAAGAAUAGCCACUGCGACUCAGCUAAAGUGUGAUAGUGAAUUCACAAGUUGCGAUGUUGACUCAAUCAAUUUCCAUACAUAAAGCAUUGCUUUCAUCCGUUUUAAAUUUAUGGUUAAUAUUUUCACAAAUUUUAAAUUUUAUAUAUAAUUUUAGCGAAAAUCAGAAAAAUCGUACACCAAUCAACAUGAUCAUGUAAUAUAUUCAAUGGUCUUUCUUGGCAUAUUGGAUACACAAAGUUGAGUUAAUGAAACAAUUCGAUGGAUUGGACCCAUUCAAUUAAAUACACUCCUGGAAUUCGGGAAGACCAGAAAGUGUUGAAAAUGUAAUUUUUAUAGUCAUCACCAAAUUCCAGUGGUGGAAACACACACUUUGAUUCCGCGUCAAGUCAUGUCAUCGAUGCAGUAAAUGCCUCCAGUAAAUCAAUCUUCUGUCGCGAUGUUUUCUCAGAUGUACAUGAACACAUCCCCACUAUUCAAAGUCUUGAGCGUGGGAGGCUUUGGAAGAUGUCCAUUUUCCCCAGCAGCCAUGGAAGAUAGUAAAAUAUUUGUCAGUCACAUCUUUCCCUUGGCUCUGAUAGUGCAUUAUCUCUUCUGUUUUUGUAGUCUGAAUGAAACCAGAAUACAUGGGUUUCGUUUUAAUGCUUCAUUAUGAGGUCACUGACGACAAGGCGGACAUCGACCUUCAACUCUCUGGUCCUUGGAUUAUGAGGCACCAUAAGUCCGGCCAUGUUGGCAAUCUUUGCUUCCCUCAACAAGAGAACCAAUUUAAAGGUACCAUUCCUAAAUCCUAAUCAAAUGGGUGCGCUUUUCCACUUGAGCUCUAACCACAUCAAAGCUGCAACACCACUGAACAUAACUAUGUGUUCAGAGCUCAAGAUUCAUGCCUUGACAGGAAAUGAAAUCUCUAGAGCAAUUCCUAUCCGGAGCUCGGCAGUCUCAAAAAAUUUGGAAGAUACCUUUCAUCUCUCAUCACAUUAAGUUUAAGCACUAAUAAUCUGGGUGGCAGUAUACCUGGUGAUUAAUUUGGGUCGUCUUCAGAAUUUGAGGCAACUUCAUUUCACCAUUAAUCAUCUACAGCAUUUCUUCGUUGGUGCGUUUGGCUUUGGCAACCACAGCCCAUGAGUCUCCUGGAAAAAGAGGAGAGUGAAUAGGAAGAAAAAAAAAAGUGGCACGCAUUUAAAAAAUAAAAUGUAAUUAUAACUUAUAUCUUUGAUGAAUAUCUUUAAAAAUAAUAUAUUCGUACUAUAAUAAUUAUUUAUUUUAUUUACUGAGUAGUUAUUUCAUUUUUAAAAUGUAAAAAUUAAGUUGAAGGAUACAUAUUGAGUGUGGAUUUUAAUUUUUUUGUGUUUUUCUUCUUUUUUCUAUUCCCUAUUACCUGUUACUUAUUUCUAUUUUUUUUUUCUUUCAAUUUAUAUUUUUAUUUUAUAUCAAAUAAAAAGUAAUAAUGUUUUUUUGUUUCAUUUUUAAAAAUAUUGAACCUUUUUACUCUUAUUAUAAGCAAGGAUAAAAAAUUUGAGAUUUUUCAUCCAAAUAUUUUUUAUCUUUUAGUAUUUAUCUUUUAGUUUAAUUUUCAUUUUAUUUUAAAUUUAUAUUACCUUUUCAUUUAUAUUUUUCUCUUAUUCUUAAUUAUUUUUUAUAUUUUCCACAUUAGCCAUAUUUAAAUGUUUAUAUAUAUAUAUAUAUCUAUAUCCUUUUAGCUUUUUAAUUUUUAAUGUUUUUAUUUUAAAGAGAUAAAUUUAUUGAAAAAUAACUAAGAUAUGAAGUUCUAAUAUUAUAUUAAUAAUUUUUCUCAUCUAGAUAAAUUAAUGCAAAGUAUUUUGACUCACAACAAGAAAAUUGUCAAUACAAAUUUUUAGUGAAACUUUAGAAAUUAAAUUUCAAAUAAAAUAUGUUAUAUAAAAUUUUAUCUAAAAAUUAUUGAAAGUGAUAUUUAAAUUUUUUUAUUGACUUUCAAACUUAUUUUAUUUUUUACUUAAAAAGUAAUAGAACAUGUUUACAAAAAAAAUAGUUUUUCAUUUUUUAAAUAAAUGAGUACAAAUAUAUUAAAAGAAUUAAAGAUAAUCUUAGUAAAAAAAUUUGAGAAAUAUGAUUAUAAUUUUAAAUAUAGAUUCAUGUGGAUAAAAUUUCACAAAAAAAAAAUAGUAGAAAGAAAGAACAUUGCUAAAACUACAAAAAUAAAAUAUACAAUUACAAAAUUUUGAUGAUGAAAUUAAAAAAUAAAAUUCAAAAUAAUUCUUGAGUGAGAAUUUAAGUAGGGAAAAAUCCUUCAGUGGAAAAAAUGAGAAAGUUUUUCAAAAUCACUUGAAAUUCUUAACAAAAAGUAUUCUUAUACUCUCUUGUACAAUUAGUAAAUUUGUCUUAUACAGCUAGUGUAAUACCCUUGUACAAUAACUCAAAUUUCAUACAUCAUCUCAUGAAUAUCUGACAAUAGGUUGGUUAACCAUGUUUGGUUUAGUUUUAAAAAAGAAGAAAAGUUGUUAUAUAAUUUUGUUUUACAAUCAUCAUAUGUGAGGUACCUAUUCAAAUGACCAUAUACAAGUUAGAUAAAGUGCAUGAGAUGAAUAUAUGUUUAACCAAUGUGUGUAAGGAAUGUCAUUCAUCAUUGGUUAAGGGAAAUAAACAAAUAAGUUUUUCAGAAUCACUUAAAAUCCUUCACAAAUGAUAGUCUUGUAUACCCUUGUACAGUUAGUAUAUUUGUCAUGUACACUUAGUAUAAAUACCUUGUAUAGUAACCCAAAUUCUAUAUAGUACCCCUACUCAAUGUGUAACCAUAGAUAGGUUAACCAUGUUUUCAUUGGUUUGGUUCAAAAAAUAGUAGAAAAUGAAAAAACAAAAUAUUCUCUCAAACAUCAUUAGUGGGAUAAAUAUUUGAAUUGUCAUGUGCGAAUUAAGUCAAGUGCAUAAGAUGAGUGUGUGAUAGAGAAAUGUAUACCUUGAGAGUGUGCAAUCCUUAUAUGACAAGACAAAAAAAAAAGUUAUCCAAAAUUGAUUGAAAUAUUUCACAAAUGAUAGUCUUGUAUACCCUUUGUAUAAUUAGAAUAUUUAUAUUAUACAGUUAGAAUAUUUAUCUUGUCCAAUUGAACAUUUACCUUAUACAGUUAGUGUAACACCCUUGUACAAUGGUACAAUUUCAUCCACAUGCAUAUAUUAUGUGCCCACAUAUGAUGUAUGAACCAUAUUUCCAAUGGUUUGAUUUAGAAAAUGAUAUAAAACGUAAAAACAAAUUUUUUUCCCUAAACAUCAUUAUUAGGAUAAGUAUUUGAAUUGUCAUAUACGAGUUAAAUAAAAUACAUGAAAUGAAAGAAUUUGUAGUAGGAAAACGUAUAAUCCUUAAAUGACAAAAAAAAAAAAAAAAAAGUUGUUCAAAAUGUACAAUCUUGUACACCCUUGUACAAUUAGUAUAAUAGUAUUGUAUAACAGUAUAAAUUUCAUACAUAUACAUAAAGUAUGUCCAUGUGAGUGUGUAAAACUAUAUUCUCAAUAGUUUGACAUUUAAAAUAAUUAAAAUAAAUAAAACGGGUUAUUUUAUUUUAUUUUCAAUGCAAAAUGUAAUUAAAAAUUAAACAAAUAAAUUACUUAAAAACUAUUAUUUAAGCCAAAUUUAUUUAUUUAUUUCCUUUUAUAUUUUGGAAAUAAAGAAAAAAAUAAUAAAAAUUUAUUAAACCAUAAGAAAUAUAAAUAUAAGAUCUGUUAGAAAAUACCAAAUUUAUUUAUUUAUUUCAUUUUAUUUUUGGAAUUAAAGAAAAUAAUAAUAAUAAAUUUAUUUAACCCUAAAAAAAUAUUAAUAUAGGAUAUGUUAAAAAAUAGAACUAAGCCCAAAUUUAUUUACUUAUUUAAUUUUAUUUAGUUAAAUUAGAAAUUAAUUUAUUUUAAUAGAUCAAAAUGUGCACAAUUAAUCUAUUACUUUGUUAAUUAUAGAUAUAUUAAAAUCUUCUAUUAGACAAAAAAUAAAUAAAGAAAAUAAAAUUAAAAAGAAUGAUAAAUAUAUAUAAUUUAGUUAUUUAAUUAUUUUUCAUGUAAAAGAUAGUCACACAAAAAACAUAUAUAAUUGAUCAAUUCUUUUGUUUGAUUGUAAACAUACUAUAUAUAUAUAUUUUUUUUUUAUUAAAAUAAUUAAUGGAAAAAAUAGAAAUGGAUAAUAAUAAAAUUUAAUUCUUUUUAUUAUUUUCAUAUAAAAAAUAGUAGUAAACAAGGUUUUCAAUUUUUAUUUUUAAAAAUAGUUUUUAUUUUUUAAUUAAAUUUUUUUUCAAAAAAAAUAUAAAAAUUAAAAAUCAUAUUACCAUUUUUUUUUUAGAAAGAAUUUUUUUUAAAAUAGUUUUUGAAGGUACUUUUUUUUUAUUUAUAAUUUAAAAUAGAAAAUAAUCUGAUUUUCAAUUAUUUAUAAUAAAAAGUUUUAAAAAAACAAUGAAAAUUUUAAAUAAUUAAAAUAAAAUUAUUAUGGUUGGGAAACGGUGGUGCAAUAAAAAAAAAAAAAAGAAAGAUCAACGGAUAUUCUAGUCCACCACUUUUAUAUCCGCAAAAUAAAUUAGAGUUAAUACUAUAUUGUCUCUUAAUGUAGGGACUUGCCGUGUGGCUCAGAAUCAUCAUUUGCGUGCUCUUUCUACAAUAACGGCAAUGACAUCGCAUGCAUUCAUGAAAGUGAGACCGAGUAUGAGGUCUGACAGAAACGUGAUCAACCCAAGUUCAUUUGUGGAAAAACUCAGUUCCUUGGUGGGGAGGUAGGUCGACCUUAAAGUCUACCUAUGAGUAUGAUCCCACUACGUGGCCUUCAUCACUGUGAUUUGGGCAGAUGCAAUAUUGAUGUAGAGAACCAACUUCUUCUCACUUUUAAUUUGUUGUUGUGGAUGGAACUAAUGUUUAUACUUUUGAUAUGUGUAUUCCGUUUAGAUGGAGGGCAAGCUCAACCAAAAUUGUAUGUGAGAAGAACUUGUUAUUUCUAGAGCUGGAGCCGUGGCGAGAGAUUGCAUAUGAAAAAGGUUCAAUUUGUUGUCAAUUCAUCCAAGUGCCGUUGGCGCUCAAAUUAUGGACUUACCGGGUAGACGACUUCCAAUUGUGGAGGCAAAGUCUUCCAUGCUGACCCAGUCCUGAUUUGGAAAGCCUUCAGCAUAAGAUGAGGCUGAAGUCGUUGAAAAUUUCUAUUGCGUACCAUGGAAAAUCUGUUUGCUUUUCAGAUUUAUUACAUAUACGUGAUCGCUUUUAUAUAUAUAUAUAUAUAUAUAUACGAGUAGGGGAAUAUGUAGUGCUUCAUCAAAAUCACAUCUUUUCCUCCCCUCCACCCCUGCAUCUUCUCCUCUUCCAAACUAAAUGAAACCAGCAUACAUGGGUUUCAUUUUAAUUCUUCACUAUGCUGUUUUUGCCGUUCUUCUGUCCUCCCUAAGCUCGUUUCGUAUUGUGUGUUCAGCUUCCUUGAGCAUUAACACCGACAAGGAGGCAUUGCUUUCAUUUAAAUAUCAUUUGAGCAGCGAAUCCUCGGAGACUCUUUCUUCAUGGAAUGUUAACAACUCCAGCCCAUGUAACUGGACUGGUGUUUUAUGCAAUGAGUCCAGGGAUAGGGUCAUUGGCCUUGAUCUCUCAGGCUUUGGGCUAACAGGCACCAUAAGCCCGCAUAUUGGGAAUCUCUCCUUCCUUAGCUCUCUUGAGUUACAGGAUAACCAAUUGACAGGAACCAUUCCUGAUCAGGUUGGUGACCUUUCCCGCUUGAGCGUCUUGAACAUGAGCUCUAACCACAUCAGAGGUGCGAUACCACUCAACAUAACUAUGUGUUUAGAGCUCGAGAUCCUUGACUUGAAGGAAAAUGAAAUCUCGGGUACAAUUCCUGCAGAGCUCGGCCGUCUCAGAAAUUUGGAAAUCCUCAAACUGGGUAGCAAUCAGCUUGUUGGUGAUAUUCCGCCUUCUAUCAGCAACCUUUCCUCACUGGACACGCUAAGUUUGGGCACCAACAAUUUGGGUGGCAGGAUUCCUGAUGAUUUGGGUCGCCUUCAGAAUUUGAAAGAACUCGAUCUAACCAUUAAUCAGCUGGAGGGCACUGUCCCUUCAUCCAUAUACAACAUCACUUCGCUGGUUAAUUUGGCUGUGGCGUCCAACAACCUCUGGGGCGAAAUUCCUAGUGAUGUUGGAGAUAGGCUUCCAAACCUUCUCAUCUUCAAUUUCUGCAUCAAUAAAUUCACUGGUGGAAUUCCUGGAUCUUUGCACAAUCUCACCAACAUUAAUGUCAUUCGGAUGGCACACAACCUUUUGGAAGGAUCAGUGCCAUCAGGUCUGGGGAAUCUUCCGCAGCUGCGUAUGUACAAUAUUGGGUACAAUCGGAUUAAAAGCUCAGGUGAUCAGGGUCUCGAUUUCAUUACUUCUUUGACAAACAGUACCCAUCUUAACUUCCUUGCCAUUGAUGGCAAUUUUCUGGAGGGUGUGAUUCCAGAAUCUAUUGGUAAUCUUUCUACUUCUCUCGCAAGUUUACAUAUGGGUCAGAACAAGAUCUACGGUAGUAUACCACCCUCAAUCAGUCAUCUUAGCAGCUUGGCUUUGCUUAAUUUGAGCCAUAAUCUUAUUUCUGGUGAAAUCCCACCAGAAAUUGGUGAACUUGGGGAGAUGCAGGAAUUGUAUUUGGCUUCCAAUAAUAUCUCCGGCAGAAUUCCAAGCUCCCUUGGCAAUCUCCGACAAUUGAGUCAGCUUGAUUUAUCUAGCAAUAGAUUGGUGGGAGGAAUACCCACAAAUUUUUCUAACUUCCAGAGAUUGCUCUCAAUGGAUCUAUCCAAUAACAGGCUCAAUGAAAGCAUACCCAAGGAGAUUCUCGGCCUUCCCGGUUUGAGCACUCUGCUGAAUCUAUCCAAGAACUCUCUGACUGGACCCUUGCCUCAAGAAGUUGAAGCACUCGAAAGUGUUGUCACAAUUGACCUCUCUCACAACCAUUUAUCUGGAAGCAUUCCCGAAUCCAUUAGCAAAUGUAAGAGCUUAGAGGAAUUGUUCAUGGCAAACAACAAAUUCUCAGGUUCUAUUCCAGAUACUCUGGGGGAAGUGAGGGGCUUGGAAAUACUUGACCUCUCUACAAACCAACUCACUGGCUCAAUACCCAGCAGUCUCCAAGAACUUCAGGCCCUUCAAUUGCUAAACCUCUCUUUCAACAACCUAGAAGGAGUUGUUCCCAGCGAGGGAGUCUUUAAAAAUCUCUCCCGUGUUCAUAUUGAAGGAAACUCAAAGCUUUGCUUGAAUUUGGCCUGUACGAAAGGCCAUGGAAGAAGAUUUGCUGUCUUUCAUAUUAUACUUAUAAUCGCUUCAGCGAUAGCAAUAUGCUUGGCAGUCGGUGUGUUAGCCUAUCUAAAGAAAAGCAAAGCAAAGAAAUUGCCGAUCACGUCGGACUCAUUUAAAGUGCUGCACCAAGUGGUCUCUUAUGAUGAUCUACGCAUGGCAACUGGGAAUUUCAACCAGCAAAAUCUGAUCGGGAAAGGGAGCUUCGGGUCAGUUUACAAAGGGUAUCUUACAGAAGGUACUGCAGUCGCAAUCAAGGUGCUUGACAUCCAAAGAAAUGGAUCAUGGAAGAGUUUCUUCGCCGAGUGUGAGGCUUUGAGGACCGUAAGGCACCGGAAUCUUGUGAAGCUGAUCACCUCAUGCUCCAGUUUGGACUUUAAGAAUGUAGAAUUUCUGGCUCUGAUUUAUGAUUUCAUGCACAAUGGGAGCUUGGAAGACUGGAUCAAGGGAACGAGAAGGCACGCAAGUGGAUGUGCGCUGAAUCUCGUAGAGAGAUUGAAGAUAGCCAUUGACGUUGCUUGCGCCAUGGAUUACCUGCACCAUGACUCUGAAACUCCCAUCGCCCACUGUGAUCUGAAGCCAAGCAACGUGCUGUUGGACAAAGACAUGACCGCCAAGGUAGGGGACUUCGGGUUGGCCAGGUUACUGAUGGACAGAGCGGCCGAUCAACAGUCAAUAGCCUCCACACACGGUCUCAGGGGUUCCAUAGGCUACAUACCUCCAGGUUAGCAGUAACAACUGACACACCUGAUCUUUUUAUUGUACACUAAUAGUCAUAUCGCCUGAGUUCAACACUGUCCACAAAAUUGGUCGAUGCAGAGUACGGACUGGGAGGGAAACCAACAACAUCCGGAGAUGUGUACAGCUAUGGAGUUAUGUUGUUAGAGAUGUUUACAGGGAAAAGCCCAACCCAUGAGAGUUUCCUCGGGGGACUGACCUUAGCCCAGUGGGUUCAAUCAGCUUUCCCAACAAACGUAAGGCAAGUGGUGGACCCUGAGCUGCUGCUUCCCACCGGAGCUCUUCAACAUGAAGGACACCCAAUAAGCGAGGAAGUGCAGCACGAAUGUCUGAUUGCUGUCAUUGGGGUUGCGCUAUCUUGCACCGUGGACUCUUCAGAUAGACGCAUCAGCUCCAGAGAUGCUCUCUCCCAACUCAAAACUGCUGCCAAGGCCCUUCUCAAACCUACCCUCGAUGAUAUGGAGGAAGGAGCUUCACCCCAUUGUGUUGUUGAUGUUUAGUACUUUACUUGCCCAUCUCUUAUGCUCAACUUACAAGUGCGUGGGUAUAUAUAUAUAUAUAUAUAUAUAUAUAUAUCAUUGUGUGUAAAAACUAGAAACGAUACUAUAAUGUGUCUUUAUAUACGGAAAUCCAGAAAUUAAGAAUAUUUUUCUUACCAUUUCGGACAAUCCAUUAGGUUUUUAACAUUUUACCAUUUGAGUAGAAUUUAAGGCCAGUCAGGCCCAAAAAAUGGUAGGCUUAAAAACUUCGGUUUCAUUGGGCGUAUUUCCAUGGGCCAGGGCAAGGCAGGCCAAUAGAUUGUAAUUAAUUUUAAAUUUAUAUAAUAACUCAUUUAAUUAUCAAAUUUUUUAAAAUUAAGUAUAUUUAUAUAUUGAAUAGUAACAUAUCAAAUACAUAUUUUAAUUCAUUUGUUCAAAUUAAUUUUCAUAAAUUAAAAGCAUUUAAAUAUAUUCUUUAAUUAUUUUUUAAAUGAGGGCACAUGAUUUAAAAUUAAAUCAUACAAAAUUUGUGAGGCUCUAACCUAUAGAAAAGUAAAUUAAUUAAUAACACUUUUAUAUUUAUUUUAUUUUAUUUAAAAAUAAUAUAAUCACCUUUCCAAUUAAAAGAUUGGACAGAUAUUAAGAAUAUCAUCUUCUUAGUGAUUAAUCUAAGUUUUAUUCUAAUAAUUGAAGUCUUUAACAGUUUUUCUCACAUGAUGAGUUCUAAAUCUCUUUCAAUUUUUCAAUAUCAAGACACAACCUUUAUCAAAAAAUGAUAUUAAAAUGAGAAUUAUUCUAAAAAAUAACAUUAAAAUAUUGAAAAUUUUCGUGCUUAUUUCUUUUACCAUUAGUAAAUAGUUGCAACUGAAGUUGCUGACUCCAACAGAUUUGGCCAGGCCCAAUCUGCAGCACUCUUUCAUGGCCUCCCAUGUCCCUUUUCAUGUCCAAUGGAACAACAUCCUCCCCCGCGAAAUCCUUUGUCUGGAGCUUCGUUCCUCAGCCUCACAGGCCAAUGCACCAGAUAAAGAUCCACAUACUCCAUUCCCAGCUUACUUCAUGUAUAAUUACAUGUUCAGAAAACAAAAACCAAUACAUGUCAGUAUAACAAACUCGAAUUCAACUACUAAUUUCAAUAAAUUCAGCUAAAAUGUUAAUAGUUGAUUACUGGAAGAACGAGGUCAGGGCGGUUGUCCUUGCACCGUAGCUUUGAAGUGAUGAACACUUCACUUCGACCCUUAAUGAGGCCUCUGGCCACAGCCUCUGCCACAGCUCGGCCUAGAGGCUCUUCGGAAGCAUAGUGAGCAGCAGUGUCAAAAUGGCGGUAGCCCACCUCAAUGGCAUCCACAAGGAUGGAGGUGAGCCGGUGAGGUUGUGGGAAGGGAGAAGUUGCUGUUCCCAUGCCUAUCAAAGGCAUUUCCAGCCCAGAGCGCAGCAACACUCCUGGGAUUUGGUUUCUGAGCUCCAUCCUUGUGGGCCAAAGAUAUAGAUAGAAGAGGAGCAGAGGGUGGGUCUCUGACUCUCUGUUGAUUUUCCUAGUAUAUAUAACUUACGAGUUAGGAGUAUGCUUUUCUGUACCGCAGAGUGUGGAUAAGCCAAUGCUAUGCUGCCAUAUUUAUACCAAAUCCAAAAGAAUCACCCCUUCAGCUUCAUGCAUGACCAUAGAGAGCCUAAGACCGACAGUUGAUCUGGUGUUCCACUCUUGGGCCUAUGUACUGGUUAAUGAGCUAGGCCAUAGCUUUAUGGAGUUAGGAAACAAUAGGGUUAAUGUGGGGACAUUCAGCAUCCUUCUGCCAUCUUCAAUCAAAGCUUGAGCAUGUUUGUUGGCAUAUGGAAAAAAGUAGCUCGGUUGAUGUUACUAAGGUCUAAGGGUAGAUUUGUGCAUUGACUCUGGCCUAUCUGACCCUGUAAGGCUGUAAGCCUGUAACUGAUGCCUUGCUAUUAUUGCUCCUCUACUCAUGUUUCUGACCUCUUCCUUGCAGACUUCUCCGCUUCCAGCUAAAUGAUUUAUGAGGAUGGAGUGUUGAUGGAGGAAAGGCAUAACAAGUGAUAAGUGACAACUAUUACAACACUCAGGUUAAUAACAUCAACUUAGAUGAACUUGAUUACUGCUUCUAUUAGCGAUGCCUAAAAAAUUAAUUGAAUUGAUAAAACCAAUUGAACCCUAAAAGCGAAUCUCAAAGAUGGACUAUAAGUAGAGGGGGUGAAUAGGUGUUCUUAAACAAUUUAAAAAAGUCUUCCAACACAAUUUAUUUAAUCUUAGAAAUUUUUACAAUUCUCUUCUUUUCUCUGCAAACACUUCUCAAUAUAAAGCAAAGAUCACAUACAAAUAUAAAUGUAGCAACACUCCCCCAACAGAUUUCAAAUGCAAGUUACAAGCAAAUACAGUAACACUCCCCAAAAUUAAUCAUACAACCAAUUCUCUCCUUAACUCAUUUCUAAUUACUAUAAGAUAUCAUUAAUCAAAAUAAACAGAAAAAUUAUUCAAAAUAUCUAAUGAAUAUUCACAUCUAUUUCAACUCAUCUUUCUUCUAUUCAAUAUAUAUGCACAAAUAACCAAUUAUAUCAAAAACUAAAGAUUAAUCAAAAAGUAAAAUAAGAAAAAGAGACAAGGACACCAUAUUUUAAUGUGAAAAACCUUAAAACACAUAAAAAAUCACAGGCCUACAACUGAUCGAAAACGUCUACUAUGAAGAACAAAAACUAAACACAAAGUUUUGUCUAGUUCAAGCUUACCAAUCCUUCUCGGUUGACCAACGUCUUUCCACUUUCAGCUUCGCACCUUCUUCUUUCAGAGCAUACUUAGAGUCCACACUAAGCUCGAUCUUAGCCUCUUCUUAAAUCCACACAAGAAGAAAAUAAAUUUUUACCCAAACCUAAUAAUUUCAUAAUUGAAAAAAUCGAGUUAAAAGACACUUAAAUAUUUUGUCCAAAAUUACCAACUUAGUUUAACACUCACAAACCCAUAAUCAAAAUUUAAAAUUUCUUUUAAUAAUCUUGAUUUUUUAAAUAGUAAACAUAAAACCAAAAUAGAUCCAAUGGGUCUACAAUUUCAUUUUUUUAAAUUGAUAAUAAAUCCAACCAAACUGAAAAUUAUACCUAUAACUAUAUAUAGUAUCUAUCAAAUACAUUAUCAAUUUAGCACAUUAUUUUUUCAUAAUUGUUUACAUUAUUGGUUUUUUUUUUAUGAUUGGACUACCUAGAAUACAUAGUAUGUAUUGAUUACAUUGUCAAUUUAGGAAAUAUUUUUUCAUAAUUGAUUACAUCAUUACCAAUGGCCGAUAUAUCAACAAUUUCACCGAUUUUUUGCCAAAAUUCUGUUCAACCAAUAAUCGGUGACUAAUUUCAUAUCGACCAUUGACCACCACCGAUAUCCGAAAUUACGCUGAUAUUUCAACGAAAUCCAUGGUCGUUUGAUGGUGGAAGAAAUCGCAGGGAUUUCUACUAAAGAUCAAGAUGAUCUCCAAAUAGAUAAUGAGAGUGUACUGAUAAUUUGUUCUCAUUUUCAGCAUGUCAUGCAUCAUCAUCCCAAAGCUCCUCCGAGGAUUUAUAAAUUCCAUCAUGAUGAACAAACAUUUGCCCAGAAAAACCCCUGCGCUGUGGGAUCUGCUCAAUCUUUGCGAGCUCAUCAUCACUGAGUUCCCAGUCAAAGAUUUGAAGAUUUUCCUUCAUUCUCUCCUUAUUGAAGCUCUUAACUAAAAUACUCACCCCUUGUUGGUGCAACCAUCUCAAUGCAACCUGCACUUCUCCAACAUUUGUUUGUAUUAACAAAUCCGAAAAUAGAAUAUUUUUAAUAAUAAAUUUAAGGUAGCAUCGAUUGCUAUGAAAAAUAAUUGAAAACACAGUGAAUGUAACGAAAAGUUCUGGAAUGUGUAUAAAUAUAUAAUACUUUUAAGGAAAAAAAAAUAUGUUAAAAAACUAUUUUUUACAUUUGAGUUCCCCAUCGCAUAGAAUUACAAAUUCUAAUCGCUUGGGAUAAGGAAACAGAACAUGUGUACACUACAAAAAGCCAUGGAAUUCCCUAGUAGCAUAUUUUUACUCCGUGGGACGUCCUUCCAAUCACUUGGGAUAAGAAAACAGAAGGUGUGGGCAUUACAAAAAGUUUAUUGGAUGGAAGUUAUAGAUCCAUAAGGUUUGAUAUAGACUUUUACAAAAAAAAAAAAAAAAAAAUUGUAGUUAUGCUAUUUUAAAGGUUGAAAAUCAUUUGGAAAAAUUUUAUUUGUACAAAAAAGGAGAAGUCACACUAAUUUUAAGCAUUUUAAAAAUAAUUUUUUAUUUCUUCAUGAAAUCAAAUAUGAAAAUUCUUAGUAGUGGUACUGUAUACUUUAUAUAAUAUAAAAGUUUUUAAAGCAUUCUCUAUCUUUUCAAUUCUUAUUAGAAAAACUAAAAGCUUGUCAAAAUUAUUUUAAAACAAAACCUAAUUUUUAGGACAAAUUCUUAAGAAAUCAAAAGUUUUUCACAUCUCUUGUAAGUUAAAAAACAGUUACUGAACAGCCGAAAACUUCCACUCGUAUUAAAAGUUGAAGGAUGAUAUAAGUUGCUUGUGUCUUGGGCUUUUUCUUAUGUUAAACGAAUGUUUUUUUGUAGGGUAGGCCAGUGUGUUUCAGGAGUCAUUCAUCAUUGAAGCUGCUUCCAUAGAAAACGAAAAGCAAUCAAAGUAUUGUCUCCAGUUCAUGGUUUUAGAAAGAGUUUAUGUAGAUUUGUAAGUACCUGUGCCAAGCUCUUCCCUUUUGCAGCAGAGAUUUCUUUGAGAAGUGGAUUCUCAACCACUGCAAGUGAGCCCCACAUGGCUCCAUUUGCUCCCAAUGGAGACCAUGCACUCACAUGAAUCCCCUUCUCUCUGCAAAACUCUCUCAGUUUCACCUGUUGCCAUACUGCGUUCAUUUCCACCUGAAACAACAUUCAGUUUCAUCAAGCCAUGAACUACCUCUGCCAAUUAUAUUUAUGCCACAGAACACGCCUGUUUGUAAACCUGAUUAACAGCAGGAGGGAUGGUAGCAUAUUGGAGAAGCUGAGAGAGCUUUUUGCUACUGAAGUUGCUUACGCCAAUAGACUUGGCUAGGCCCAAUCUGCAGCACUCUUCCAUGGCUUCCCAUGUCCCUUUCAUGUCCCAGCUGGGGAAGAUAUCCUCCUUUGCAAACUCAAAGCUUGCAGCUUCUUUCUUCAACCUCAAAGGAAAAUGCACCAGAUAAAGAUCCACAUACUCCAUUCCCAGCUUCCUUCAUAUUCACAAACAACAACCAUACAUAUAACAAACCUUAUACACUAUCAAUUUCAAUAAUGCAACUGAAAUGUCAACAGUUAAUUACUGGAGUGUGUUGUUGAGGGCUGGGAGAACCAGGUCAUGGUGGUUGCAGUUGCACCAUAGCUUUGAAGUGAUGAACACUUCAUCACGACUCUUGAUGAGGCCUCUCUCUAUAGAUUCUGCAACAGCUUGGCCAAGAGAUUCUUCUGAGCCAUAGGAGGCAGCAGUGUCAAAAUGGCGGUAGCCUACCUUAAUGGCAUCAACAAGAAUGGAGGUGAGAUGAUGAUGCGGUGGCUGGGGCACGGCACUUGUUCCCAUGCCAAUUAAUGGCAUCUUUUGGCCAGAGUUCAGUAACACUUCUGGGAUUUGCUCUGUUCCCAUCUCUGUGAAGCUCUAAGUUAAGGAUAUAUGAGACUUGAGGAGCAACUUUACGUAUUUAUAGUGCCUAUAUUAGUUGAGCAAUAAGAAAGCCAUCAGAGAACCAUACCACUUUGAUUAAAAACUUUAAUUAAUUAAUCAGUGAAUCAGAUGAUAAUGAGAAUGAGAUUAAUAAAAUAAUUGAAUCAAGCAUCAUCUAUGUAAAUUUCACCAUGUUUGGAGUUCAAAACUUUUUUAACAGAAAAGAAUUUAAUUAAAGAAAAUGUAUUUAUGAGACCUGAAAUGAACCAUAUGUUUGGUUCAGUUUAUGUGGACAAAGACUUGUUGGGGCCAUGGCAAUCUCAAUUUGCUCCUCUCACUGAUCUGGGUGCAUUUCUGGCCCUACAAUAGCACCAUGUACCUAGGUUUUUGGACAACAUGAUGAUCCACUUGGCUAAUUCAAUAAGUUCUAUAUAGGAUAAAAGAGAGUGAACAGAAAAAGUGAAUUUUGGUGGGUGAUUGGAGAAAGAAUUAGUGGAACAAAUAGAGAAAAGAAUACGAAGAGAUAACUUUGAAAGGACAAUGAUCACCUCUGAAAUGGUAUUCACAAAGAUCAUUCAAAUCUUCUUGAAGCAAUAUAAGAAGAAACAAAUUCAAUUUUCUCUCUUGUUUACUACUUACUACGGCGACGAAGAAUCAAAUUAUCACUAUAUUUAUUCCUUUUUCUACUUCUUAUUUCCAAGUGCAGGAUAACCCUAAGGGGUUGUAGGUUUUUUUCUUCCAAGUGAAGGAUAACCCCCAUGGGAAUGGUCUAUAAGGUUCAUAAUUACUCCUCUCACUACAAGAUGCUUACCUUGCCAACACUUAGAUUCAGCUCUACUCAAACUUUUCUGGUUCACCCCAACAUUUCUCACAUGUUUGACUGUUGCUAAGCAGUUUUUGGAUAUCAAACGAACCUCCUAAGAAAAAUAGAAUCAACCAUUCGAGUAUUCUCAAAUUGUAUGAGAAAUAUGAGAAAAAUGGGAGCAUACAUGUGUGGUAUAUAUCUCAUGUAUAUUGAAUUGCAGAUACAAAAAUGAUAGAAUGCAGAUACAAAAAUGAUAGAAUCAUUACUGAUUAGACCAAAUACAAAUAUGGUCCCCGAGAGAGAUGAGAUGAAAGAAGAUAAGCAACAAAAAAAUGAGGAAGGACUUUUUAGGAAUCGGUAUCUAAUGAAUUCAAAGGUUCCAACAUAAGCAUAAAUGAAAGGAAAAGAGGGGCACAAAAGGAAACAAGGAUGAAAAUGUCGAGAUAUAUCGGUUUGUGUAUCGGUAACCUCCAACACAAUACAUGCAGAGGAAAUAUCAGAGCCACAAUAUUUCCAUUAAAAUCGUCAUUUUUCGCCGAUAUAUCCCUGACAUUUUCAUGAUAUUUCGGUAGUCGCACCCGAUAUAUUGAUGCCACAUCAUCCCCAUUUCAUUUUUUAUUUUUCCCCAAAACUCUUAUAAUGGGCCCAAGCACUAGCCCAACCCAUACUCUCACACCAGCCCAGCAUUGUGAGCCUUCCACCACUCCAAUGCUUAAAUACACCUUUUUGGUGUCAUGAAUUGUUUGCGAUUGCAAGAAUUGGAAUUUUUAAAAGGCAAGGGAAAAUGCAAGUGAAAUGAGGGAAAAUCCAAGUGAAAUGGAACCAAGGAGAUUUGAACCCCUAACCUCAUGCCCACAAUCCCCCACCAACACUAGCCAACCAACCAAACUUCACUUAAUUAAAUGUACAUAUUUUAUAUAAUAAUUACAUAUAAAAUAAAUAUAAAUUUUUGAAUAAAAAAUACUUAUGCAAAUUAUCAUUAUUUCUUUUAUAUCAUUAAAUGCAUCCAAAAUAGAUGAAUACGCAUAAAGUAUGUUUUCAAGUUAUAAACAUUAUGGUUAAUGUUUUCAAGUUAUAAACAUUAUGGUUAAUGUUUUCACGUUAUAAACAUUAUGGUUAAAUAUCACAACUGUACAUAUAUCAUCAUUUAUUUUAUAUCAUUUAAUAUAAUUGAAUUAAAUGAAUCAUAAUUUUAAUAUUAAAUAUAUUUUUAAAUUAAAAUAUUAUAAUCAAAUAUCACAAUAUUAUUAUAAAAUAAUUUUUUAUAUAAUUUAAUAAUAAAUGCACACUUAUAUAAUUUAUAUUUUUUAUCGAUACAUAUGAUAUUAUCAUCAAAUAUGAUAAAUCAUAUUAUACAUAUAUCAAAUUCUUUAAAAUGUCUAUUAUACUUCUAAUUACAUUUCUACGAGAUUUUUCUUACAUUUCCACGAAUUUUGAUCAAUUUUAGGGUUAUCGAUAUUUUUUUUUUAAAUAUCCAUCGAUAUACCUCAAAUAUUGAUAUAUCCAUGAUUACCAAUAUUUUCAUACGUGGAAGGAAAUAAUAAAAGCUAUUAUUCUUGAUAUUUCAAGGACUCUCAAGCCUUAUCUUCUUUUGUGGUAGAUUGGAUGAUUUAACAGGAAUGAUAUAUGUCAUGGAAUCCCAAAAAGUCACCGCAUUGUCAAUAUUUCCAUAAUGUCUAUUGCCAUUGGUAAUAGGUUGUCAUUAAGUGGGACUAUUCUCAAUCUAUAUUGCAAAUGAUAAGAUCUUUUCUACCAUGAGCUCUUGAUCUUUUGCAAGCACUUCUUCAUCACACAAAACAUCACUCAAGAUGAUGCAAACAAGUCACAUUGGACUUAUAGUAAUUUUUGGGAGUAUUUGGUUUCUGAACUCUAUGGCGAGUAUGACAUUGAAUAAUGAACCCAUCUUUUUGAAAAAACUCAUCUCUUGUGUGAUCAUGUUGCCACAAAUCCAUUUCAAACAUAGACAAUGAUCUUUGAUGAAAAAAAAAAAUUAGAAGAAAUCAUGAAGGAAUUAUACAAGAUAUAUUAAGAUAAUCCUAGUUACCAAAUGUAAUGCUAAAAAUAAAAUACAUAUGAGAUUUUGACACUUAUAUACAAUUUUUUUUUUUAUAUUAUGGUUUCAUAGUUCUCUCAACAUAAGACAAAUUAUAUGUAUAAAGGGCUAAUCCAUGCAUCAACUACUUUUCAAUAGUCUUAACAAUAAUAAACAUAAUAUUGUUAUAUUAUAUGAAAAGAAAUGAUAUCUAGUUUGUGAUUGUAAUGUGCUCCAAAAGUCAUUUUUAAAGGAAAAAAAUAUUUAAAUAUAUAUUGUUCAUUCUAAAACAAAAAAAUUUUCUGAAACUUUAAGUGUUAAAAUGAACAUGAUAACAAAAAAAGACCCAAAUAAAUGAAGAAAAAAACAAAAAGAUGUGCAUUACAUUCAAUGAAUUACUUGAUUCAAAUAACUUGGAAUUAGUUUAUGAGAUGUUUGAAUGUGAUAUAAGGAGUUAAGAAUUUUUAAAUAAAUUUAUUAUAUUUUUGGAGAGAUAAAGAAAAUGAGUUUUAGAAGGGAAAUAUAAGGCUAUUCCCAAUGAUAAGAACCUUUUAGUUGAAUGGGCAUGUUUCCUUCUUCUUCUUUUUUUUUUUUUUUAAUUUUGUUUUAUGAGAAAUAUCUAUUUGUGUUUCUAUAAAAUAACUUCAAGUGCUUCUCCAAAAUAUAAACAUACAUUGCUUUUAAGUUUUGUCAAAUCAUUAAUUUCCAUUAGUGAGCUUUUAGGACUAUAUAUUUUUUUCAACUCUAUAAAAAACAGUCACAUGCAAAUCCAUUUUAGUCAUCAAGCCAAACAAAAAAACAAAAGGAAACAUUAUACAAUUCAUUCACAGUUGAAAAUUUAGAACAUAUGACCUUUUGGCAAUAAGCCAAAUUUAGUCAAUUCAUGAUAUGCCAUCUUGUUAAAGGAAGAUUAAGAAAAUAAAUUUUCAGUUUUUAUCAUGCAUAUUUUCUUGAGAACAAAAUAUGAUCUUACUUGCUACCUCUCUUUUUUUUCCUUUAAAUCUAAAUUCUCAUGUUGUUUUUCAUGGAGUUAGCUUCAAAAAUAGAAGAUUAAAAUCUAUAUUUCUCUUGCUCAUGACUUUCCCCUUCCAAUGAGGCAAGUACAGUCAUUAUCCUUAAAUAUAAUAUAUAUAUAUAUAUAUAUAUAUAUAUAUAUCUAAUACAUGAGCUGCUUUGGUGCAACCCAUGGAUGGAAUGAAUUUACAGAAAAUUCUUUCCAUCAAAGCACCUCUAAGAAAAUUCUAACAAAAACUUUACACAUCAUAAUUUGACAACACGCACCAUAUUAAAAAUUGGAUAACCACAAAAGUUUCAAUCCGAUGAAAAGAAAGAUCAAAACAACUGAAGUACUAAGAUAUCAAAGCAUGACCAAUUAAAAAAUCGAAAAAAAAAAGUUAGAGAGAGAGAAACUAACACUGAAUCUGAAAGUGAACUGGAAAUUUGAUAGCGAUAACUCGAAUCCCAAAUUAAAAAACAAAACAAAACAAUGAAAGCAGAAAAAAAACAAAAGCAAUAGAUUAGGGAACGAAGAACUAACCAUCGUGAAGAGAAUAUGGAAAUUUUGAGGAAGAAUUGAAAGGGAAAAGAUCUAUAUAUAUGUUCGCAAUCGUAACCGUUACACAAUAAAUAAAAGAAUCACAAACGGAUAUAAUCUAAUCAAGAAACGGUAACUUGAUUCUAGAGAGUUAAUUGAGAAUAUUAAUGGAGCAUACCUGAAAUCACAAUAAACCUAUUCGGUAGAUUGAAAAUUGGUUUUUUGGGGAGAGCAGAUGAGGGAUUCCAACCUCUUUACAAGCUAGGGUUUCUAGCCAACUCAUCUAGUGAGAGAGGCCGACCUUGGUGGAUUGAGAACCCGAACCAAGCAUUGGAAGUUAGAUUUUUUCUGAACCAUCGACGUGAUUGGGUGAUGACACUGUUGCGUAAAAUGGCGAGUUGCUCCCGUGGACUCUGGCGACUUUGCCAUGUGAAGACAAGAGGUGUUCUUUAUUUAGAUUUAUUAAUAAAAUUAAUUGUGUAUAAAAUUAAUAAUAUGAAAAUUUCUCAAAAAAUAAAAAUAUUUUGACGUGAAGCAGGAAGAAAAAAAAAUUACUGAUUUAAAAACAAAGUUCAUUUAUGCAGGAAUAUCAUAAUCACUAGUGCAGUGUUUGUUUUCUUUCACUUAAUUUUAAAUAGAAUUUAAAUUUAAAUAAUAUUAAGUAUUAUAUUAUUUGUUUUUAUAAUUUUUUUUUAUAAAGUAUUAAAAAAAUUAAUAUGUUAUUUUUUCGAUUUAAAAAAAUUAAAUAUUUUGAUUUUUUUUUUAAUCCAAAAAUUCAUAAUAAAUGAUAAAAAAAAUUUAAAAAUAAACAACUUAAAAUCUAAAAACAAAUUAUUUUCAAUAAAAAGUUAUAAAAAAUAAACAUCCUUUAGAUUUGACAUCAAUUUCAUAACAUAUAACAACAUAAAAAUGGAAGCUUUUAAAAAAAUAAAAAGGAAAAAGAAAUAAACAAGGAAUUCGGUAAAUUUGCUUAGUGUGAAGUUCACUAGCGAAAGAGCAUUAAUUUGGUGAUGAUUACUUUUCAAAUUUUUACUAAAUUACAACCUAAUAUGUACUAAUAAGUACAUAAAAUUGUAAUCAACAAUUAAAAUAAGGGAGUAAUAAAGAAAUAAGAAAAUAAAAUACAAACAAAUUUGAUCAUAGUUCAACAAAUCUCAUUCUAGUUGAUACUCCCAAGCUUCUUCUAACCUAUAGAAUUUUUACUAGUUUUUCAAGAUUUUUCUAAGACUCGGAUGCACACAAUCGAUUUCUUUCCAAGACCCAACAAGUUAUAUGUUAGAUUUCUUUGGGUAUUAAGAGACUACUACAAACUUUUGAUAUCAUAUCCUCACACCUAAGACUCUCAAUGAUGUUUAUAAAGUUUUCACAAUUACAAAAAAGAUAAAAAUAAAAAACAUUUUUAAAGCAAAUAUAGUCUAAAAUAGUUUGACUUGAUUGCAAUCAAUAUAGUUUACAAGUUGAAGUUUAAUGCAUAAUAUAUAAAAUGCACAAAGAAUUAUGGAUUCAAUAUAAUAAUUAUUAGGAUUCUUGCUAUACUAAUUUAAGAUAAUCAUCUCUGAGGGUGAUUAUGACAUUUUGCAAAUUUAACAAUUAUAAAAUGGAAAGUAAUAGUAUGAUAAAUAUCAAUAUAAAAGCAAUUUCAAAGAAAUAAAGAAGAUAGAUAAGAGAAAUUGUAAACAUUGGUUUUUAUAGUGGUUCAACACAAUCCAACCUAUAUUUACUUAUUUUAAGCUCCUAAUUUAGUAAGAGUUUUACUAUUUUAAGACUCUCAACCCAAGUCUCCAACCUUAUAAUCGGAUUAUGAUUAUAAACACUCUUUACAACUGUGAAACCAAGGUUUGAUUAAUCUUGAUUUUGAUGAUAACAAAAUAAGGUUUAGAACUAAUGAUCAUAUUUCAAGUGUGAUUAGGCAAGACGAUUUCCAAAGUGGCAAUCACAAAGAAAAAUAAAGCCAAAGAAAAAAUAUGAAGAAGAAGACCAUCUCAAAGAGACGAGUUUUUCAAGACCAAAGCUUCAUAAGAUCUCUUUGUAAGGUUGUUGGUGCACUAGGACUUUCAUGCAUUUCAUUCUUUAUUUAUGCACCAAAAUCAUUCAAGAGUAAUAUUUUUUUAAAUAUCUUAAGAAUUUGAUGAUUUCAUGUUUUCAACUAAAACCUUGUGUUAAAUGAUUUUCAAACUUGUGUUAAAAGGUUUUAAAUUGAAAAAAGUUGGGUGUUGAGCUAAAAAAAUGGCUCAACCGGUUCAACCGGUCGACCGGUUGAGGGAGGCCAAAAAAUUUCUCUCUCUCCCAAUGGCCUUCUCUUCCCGGUCAAGGUUGAACCUCAACUGAUUAAGGUCCAGUUGAGGCCCAACGAUCACUUGCCAAACAUUAAAUGCUAACGGCUAGUUAACCGGUCGAACCCCCAACAACUAGCUUUCCUUUUUUCUUCUAUAAAAAGGCUUCAAUCUUUAUUGUUUCAUAAGUUUAACAUUCCCAAACCUUUCUUAAUUAUAUUUGAGCCUUGGAAAAGUGUUUUUGAGUGCACCAUUAUUCUAUAACUUGCAUAUCCUUAGUGCACCAUUCAAUCCUAAUUUUUCUUAUAUCAUUUGAGUUUAAAGUUUUUGUGUUAGGAUUUUUGAGAGAUCAUUCGUUUGUAAAUCUUUAAGAGGAAGUUUCUCAAGUGUAGGGUAUCACUUGAGGGGUUGUUCAAGAGUGGGAUAUCUCUUGAGAAGUGUAAAGGGUGCUUGGAGCCAAAAGUCCAAGAGGGUGAAUUGGAACUAUAAUCCAAUUGUAUUGCUUGAAGGCUUGAUUUGGAAGCCUUGGAUUAGUGGAACCUCAAGUUCAGGAUUGAAGCUAGAAGAGAGUGGAUGUAGGCCGGGUUGUACCGAACCACUAUAAACUCUUGUGUUUGCAUUCUCUCUUCAAUAUUCUUUAAUUUAUAUACAAUUGUUUAUAUAUUAAUUAUUAUAUACUUGCAUAUAAUUGUCUUUUGCAUUCACUUGUUUUAAUUUGCGAAAAGAGACCAUCACGCUAUCCCCCUCCCCCCCUCCCCAUCUAGGGUGAUUACCAUAGGUUGGAUUAAUCUCAAUUUUUUAACAACAACAAUUCAAAACAAAAUCUCUAAAGUCUUCUCUUUGGAUUAUAGUUUCAAAGCACCCUCGAAAUAUAAAAAUGAAGAAAAGACUCUUAAUUUACAACAUUUGUUCGAACGAAGUAAAAGAAAAAAACCAAAUGAAGUAUAGAAAAAAACUAGAAUCAAGGCGCACUAAAAGAUAUGCAAGUUUUAAAUCAAAAUGCACUGUAAAACACUUCGGUAGGCCCCAUAUAUAUUUAAUAAAUAUUUUGAAAUGUCAACCUUAUAAAACAAUAAAAUUUGAAAGUCUUUUUUUUUUUUAGGAGUUUAGAGCUCAAACUAGCCAUUAAGCACAAUUUUAGGUCAACUAAUUCGAUCAAUCAUUAGCCGUUAGACAAGUAAUUGUUGGAGGUUAGAAUAUCAACCAACCCUCGACCAAUUGAGGUUCUAUUGCAACCGGCUAGACAUAUGAUACUAGAGGCGAGAGGGUGCAAAAUACACCUUGAUCUAUCAAGCCCAACCAACUCAACAGGUUCUUUAAGCCCUCGACUAAUUGCGGUGUAAAGUUUUUAAACAACCUAGUUCAAGGUUUGGAACUUUCAACAAUCUAUGUUUAACUUCUUAAAGCCUUUUACGACAAAUUUAAAAUGAAUUUUACUCAGAAUUUUAGCAAAAAUAUGAAAUCAUAAACUAACCAAAUAUUGGUUUAACAAAUAAUUUACAAGUUGUCGUUUUGUCAUAAAAUAAGUCUCAAUGGUCAUACUUAUAAUAUUUCAUAGAAUAUUAAAUGUUGGGAACAUUAUCAGUUCAAUCAGUUGAUUGCUUUAUUAACAAAUUACCAAUUACUAGCAUUUGUAGGUAAUUCAUAAGAUUCAAUUGACCAAUCAAUUGUAUAAAUGAUUAACUAAUUGCUCAAUCAAAUAACUAAGGUAAAUUGGGUGACCACUAUGGUCCACUAAUCAUUCACUUUGGUCAUUGGCCAACUAUCCAAGUAAUACAAAAAUGAAAAUGUUACACAAGUGAACUUUAAUAUUUAGAGUCCGUUCAAUUUGAAUGUUUAAGAUUGAAAAAUUACUUUUAAUGAUGAAAAUAUAUGCUAACACAUAAGUUUUAAUAUUUUAAAGAAUUACGAUGAUCACAAAUUAUGAUAGACUUAGUAUAUCAACAAUAUACUUAGUAGAUUGGCUAUCAAUUUGGCAAUAAGGUAACAACUUCGUGAUUAGAAAAAAUGCAAGAUCUCAUAAAAAUGACAUGUGUCAUGAGUCUAUUUAGAAGCUAUUACUAUUUGUUGUGUAACAACUCGUGUCAUAGACUCUAUAAAUGGUUGAAUAGAAAGAAAAAGAUAGGAUUAGAGUAAGAUGUUGGAUACCUUUAUUUACUAAAAAUAUUUAUCUCACACAUUGAUUUUUACUUUCUUUUUUAUUGUGAGGAGAAUUUUUGGCUCUUACAAAUUGACAUCAUCUACAAGAACAACAAAAAAUGGUCAAUCUCUCAUCAAAAUGUAAAGUAAAAAACCUUAGUGCAAGAUAAUAUACAUUAACAUUUGUAACUCCAUUUAAAUCUCAUAUCAAGCUCUCACCUCAUAAUAAUAUUUACGAGACAAGAUUUUUCUAGUUUAAAUAUUUAUUUACUCAUAGAUUUAUUAACUAUAGUUAUCAUUUAAAGUUUUUAUACAUAGAAACUCAUUUGUUAUAAAACCACUUAUUAUUCUUAUUAUUUUAUUUUUACAGGCUUACAUAAUCUCUCUAAUAUUUGUUGAAUAUGCUAAAAUAAAAUUUAAAUUGCAUGAUCAUCCAUUAAAAAUGUAGCUAAAGGUCAUAAAAAUUCAAUCUAAAAAUUGUCUCAUAAAAACUCUGGGUAAAAAUUGAUUGAGAAAUAAUUGAAAAUAAAAAAAUAUUUAUUAAAAAAAUAAAAAACAAAUGAAGAAAUGAAAUAUAUUUUAGUAUAAACUUCAAAAAUAAAUUAUGUAUUUAAAUACGAAGAUUCAAAGUCAAACAAAUUUAAAGGAAUAGAAUCCAAAUGAUCAACGAUGAGUUAUUUGCUGCUAAGUGGAGUCGCCCACUAACAAGAAGAAGGAGAGUCCUUUACCAUGGUGAGCAUCAGCUGCACCACUCAUGAGUAUGACCAUUUUGACAAAUCAACUAUCGACUUCAAGACUUCUAAGGAGAAUUUUAUGAUUCAUAUAAAAUAAAUCUUAUUUUUCAUAAGAAUUAUUAAUAAUGCAUAAAUAAAUUAUUUUAAAAAAUUAGCAUUCAAACAAAAGGAGUGGUUUUUGAUUUAGUAUGUUUUUUUUUUAAUAAAAAAAGAGUCUAAAAUUUUAAAAUUUAAAAACAACAAAGACAAUUUAAGGAAAAAUCCGGCACAUAUUUGAAUCUAAAAAUGAAAAAUAGUAAAAAUCAUAAAAUUAUAUAAAUUAAUUGCUAAUUAAAUACUUGAAGACAAUUUGGCAAUUUCGUAGUAAUUUUUUAAUGGACAACAGGUGGGAUGGGCCCACCAGAGAUGCCAUGAUCUCAUCGGACGGUUGAGAUAGUUGGGAGUCAAAGGCAGUAAGCAGUGAAACGACUGAAACGAAAGAGAGGAAAUGAUUUCCGAUUUCCCCCCAAAGCCCGCCCAAUGUGAGAGAAAAGGCAGAGCCGGGAAAUGUUUUUGACUUCCCAAAUUUAAAACAAAAACCCAAACAAAAAUCAAAUUCCAAAUUCCAAACUUCAAUGCCAUGGCAAUUCUCAGAACCGCGCAACUUAUAGCUUUUGAAUUUAUGGGAAAUGGCGCUAUUUCUUACUCUCGCUCGCUACAAAAUCACUUCCUAAUCUCAAACCACUCCCUCCGUCCUCCCCUCUCUUCUCUUCUCUCUCUGCAAUUACACUCCCUUCCCAUUUCCGCCUAAAUCCUCCAACUACGAGGGCUAUGGCGGAUCAGGAGAACUCCGUGCGGAUCACAAGGGCAGCCAAGAAGAGGGCCGCUGCUGCCAUGGCCGCGUCAGAUUCACUGCAGCUUCCGCCCAACAAGAAGCGUGUGGUCUUGGGGGAGCUUCCCAAUUUAUCCAACGUCGCUGCCACUCCGGCUGCUGUGCCCGCUUCUGGAGCCCAGAAGCAGAAGUUUAGGCCCAAGAAGAAGGAGAAGGUGAAGGCGGCGGUGGUGGCGCCUGAUGUUGGUGCCAAGUCGGAUGAUCCGCAGAUGUGUGGGCCUUACGCUACUGACAUUUACGAGUAUCUUCACAGCAUGGAGGUAAGGAGGGGUCUCUUGUUUCUUUGAUUUGGAUAGUUGGAACUUGUGUAGUUAUAAUAUCGGGUCAGGGUGCUUGUUUCUUAUUCCAUUUCGUCAGAUGGUUUGUUGGGUGAGAAAAUUGGAGAAAGGAAUUUUCGAUUCUGUGUUUGGUGAUGUCUUUGUUCCCAAAGACGAAAAUUUCACCUAGGUUGAACAUGGCAAUCAAUCGUAAAAUUCACAUCAUUUCUUGGUGUCGGGUUUAAUUUGAUUAUGGGCAUUGGAAAUGGGGUUUUUCUGUUUGAACCAAUUGGGGCUGAUUUUCUUGACGGGGUCUUAUUCAGAUGGAGCCAAAGAGAAGACCAUUGCAUGAUUACAUUGAGAAGGUUCAGAAGGAUGUGAGUCACAAUAUGAGGGGGAUUUUGGUGGAUUGGUUGGUGGAGGUUGCAGAGGAAUACAAGCUUGCGUCUGACACUUUGUAUCUGACCAUUUCUUACAUUGAUAGAUUCUUAUCUUCAAAAGCUCUCAACAGGCAGAGGCUCCAGCUAUUGGGUGUUUCUUCAAUGCUCAUUGCUGCGUAAGCAUCCAAGCCCUUGAUGUAGUUCCUUCUUUUGUUAAGGCUGUGUUUGGUUUAGGAAGUUUGGAGAAAGAAAAUUAGAUUAUGAGGAUGCGUUUUUUUUUCUAAACUUGUCUUACGGAGAGAAAUUUUUUUUAAUUAUUUUUUCUUCUAUUUUCUUAACUUUUUUCCACCUUUUUCAUUGUCAAUAGUAUUUUUCAAUAACCAAACAUAGUCUAAAGCCUUUUUAAUCUUGUCACUUUGGUUUGAAAAUUAUUGCUAAUAGUUCUUUAUCUCUAUGUGAUAAGUAGAAAGUAUGAAGAGAUCAGCCCUCCACACGUGGAAGAUUUUUGUUACAUAACAGACAAUACAUACACCAAAGAGGAGGUGAGUUUGCAUCUAUUUUCCUUUUAUUUUUGUUUGAUUUUCUUUACCAAAUCUGCCUCUGGAAUUUUAUUCAUAUUACCAAUUUCAUUAAAGCUGUUUUGGUCAUGAAUAUGAAGGUGGUGAAGAUGGAGGCUGAUAUUCUAAAAUCUCUUAAUUUUGAAAUGGGCAAUCCCACAAUAAAGACAUUUCUCAGGUAAGAUCACAGUCCAUACACCAUAAUCCUAGUCUGUCAUAAUAAUUGAAAUGUUUUGCAGUUGUGUAAUUGAUGUGAUGUUUCAUUGAACUAAGCAUUGCUCUUUUCUUCUUUUGGUUUGCAGACGGUUCACCAGGAUUGCUCAAGAAAAUUACAAAGUAAGACAAUCAUCUCUCAUCCUCUUUUAUGUGCUGGAGAUGGGAGCUUGAGUUAUUGACUUAUUAGUUGCAUUUUGUCUAUGCAGACUCCCAAUUUGCAGUUGGAGUUUCUGGUUUAUUACCUUGCAGAGCUAAGUUUGUUGGAUUAUGGAUGUGUGAAAUUCUUACCUUCCAUGGUAGCUGCAUCAGUUAUAUUUCUUUCAAGAUUCACACUCCGUCCAAAGACACAUCCUUGGGUAAGAUGCUGACAAUGUGUUUUGAUAAAUUUGAUUUCUUGUUUGAAAAAGCGAAGUGAAAUAUAAAUUGUGUAUGUCAUGCAGUGUUCAAGUCUGCAACAUCAUUCUGGAUAUAAACCAUCAGAGCUGAAGGAAUGUGUUCUAAUUAUACAUGAUUUACAACUGAGUAGAAGAGGAGGUUCUUUGGUGGCAGUAAGAGAGAAAUACAAGCAGCAUAAGGUAUAUAUAGUUUUGAAUAUCUUACUCCUUUUGAUACAAAUGGAAAUAAGGUAGAAUGGGUAAUCUGAUUCAAGUUAAUUUCCUUGAACAGUUCAAAUGCGUGGCAACAUUGUCUUCCCCCUCAGUGAUACCGGUUUCUUAUUUUGAAGAUAUUAAAGAAUGACAAUUAUGGUGUGAUGCGGUGUUUCAAUUGACAAUGAAUCUGUGGGAUAUUCACCUUUUGUAAAGCUUGGAAUUACAAUAGAGGUUCCUGCACCCCUGCACCAGAAGUCUUAACAUUUUAGGUUGAUUAGUUGAUCUUAUUGAUGGAAGGGAACCUUGGGUCGGAUUGAAUUCUUUGCCAUGGACAAAUGGUUUUUGUGCCAGUUUUUCUCAUCUAAUGCUGGGAGACAUCUAUCUGGAACUUGAAUAGGCUGGUGGGCGCUAGCAAUCAUUGAUAGUUAUCCCCUUCAAGGAUAGAAGUUUUAUUAGAUUUUAAAUUCCUAUCAUAGAUGAUGUUGACAUAAAAAAAAAUUGCUUGGUUCUGUUUAUAGCUCCAGUUUGUAAUGCUGCAUGGUGAACUUGUAUGCUUGAAUUUUGAAGCCUCCAAUUUCAGGAUCUUAAAAUGAUGUACAAGUCAAAUAUUGAUGAAUCAAUAUCUACCUAGAGAAGCAUUACUGUCACUCAUUCUCCAAUUACCCAGGAGUUUGACUGUUUUAAUUCUAGGCAUUUCAAACAACUAUCUCCAUUGGUUGAUCUUUGAAUGCUGGCUUACAUUUUAUUUUUAUUUUUUAGUCGAUCUUGGAGGCAAUGUGGUGAUUGUGAUACACUGCUGGUGAUUGAUAAAAUCAGAGGAUGUUAUGUCAUUUCUGAAGCAUCUUUUAUUUUAAACCAUUCAAGUUGCAAAAAAUAAUGCAUGGCAUUAUCAUUAAAAUGGGCCAUGGCAUGGCAUUGUGAAUUGUGAAACUGAAAACAGUUGGUAAGUAUAAAUGAAUAUGAAUUUUUUGUUUUCUGCAGAUUUGAGUUUCAUGAGAUCUUGUAAAGAUCAGGGAUGUUGUGAUGGAAGGGAUUGGGGAAACUCAGACUAUUAUACAAAAUGAUGGCUGAGAAAAUGUAAGUAAAUUGGCAAUGCCAGAAGAGGAGAAAAAAGGAAGUAGUUGGUCUUUGGCAUUAAUGAUUGAGGUUUGUCUAGCUUGAAAGUACUUCCAUUGAAGUAUACCGUGAUUUUUCAGUUUGCAAGACAAUUCCUCCUGGUUCUUGGAGAUAAGGAAAGCAAGAGGUAUGAGUCAUAUAACUGGCAUUUGGCCUAGUAAACUAUAAUGGAUUCACAUCUACAUUUUCUGUUAUGAUUGCUUCAUUUAUAUCCAGAAAACUGGCUAGAUUUUAAAGUUAUGUUUGGUUUUUGGAAAAUACUAAGGAAAGAAAAAAAGAUGUAAAGAAAAAUGAUUUUUUUAUGUUUGGUUAUUCUAUGAAAAGUAUAAAAGAAAAUAAAAUAUAAUUAAAAUUAAUUAAAAACUUAUGUAUUUUUAAAUUAUUUAAUUUUUAUAUUGAUGAGUUAAAAUAAAUAAAAUGAACUUAAAGUAAAAAAAAAAAAAUUAUUGACUUUUAAUUUAUUUUUUAUUUUUCUUCUCUUUUUCUUUUGUAUUUUCUUUCCCUUGUAUUUUCUUUCAAAUUUUAUGGAAUCAAACAUAGCAAUGUUCAGGUCUAGCAAGGAUAAGAAUCCACUCAAGCAAUUCUUGGACUACAAUAGUAGGAUGAUAUAGGCAUACAAUUUUUGAAGCAAACAGCAGCAAGAUUGGAAGGCGUGGUUUUCUGAGAUAAUGAUUCAAAGAAAUUGGCCAUUAUUCAGGCGUUAAGAUAGAGUAGAACCCUGCAAAAACUGAAAGCUAGAAAAUUGUUUUCUUUUUCUUACCAUUCCUUCUCUUUUUAUUGGGGAGAACCUCCACCCGUGGGACGUUGGAUCUUGUAUGCAUGUAGACCUGCAUAAGCUUCUGGUUGCUGAUUAACAAAGACACAAUGGAUAUUGAGAAGGAUCAAAGUCGGAGAUCCAGGUCGAGUUGAGGGUAGUCUGAUGGUUGUUUGCAGUAGGGCGGUUGAGAGUUCAUGCGAAAACUUCCUGGCCAUAUUAAAUUUGUUGCUUCUUCAGGGACCACUGAUGUCCAGGGCAAACCAAACCCAUUGCUAGCAUCACUGAAUCGAGCCAUCAUAGUUGGAGCUUCUCUAAAUGGUUUGUGCACAAGUGAGUGAGGCCGAAAUCCCAGUGAUCGGACAGAUGGAUUACAUGGGGGCAAACCCAUGAUUCCCAUCAUCCUCUGAGAUUGGUACCUUUUAACUGCUCCUCUCUCCCUUUUGUGUGCAUUCUGGUGGCCACCCAGUGCUUGGGAACUAAAGAAUUUCCUCAUGCAGAAGUUGCAUGAGAAGACCUUGUUGGAAGCAGAUUCUGGUUGAGACUCCUUGUUUCCAGCCAUCAGAGCAUCAUUUCUGCCGACCCCCAAGGUAAGCCACACUUUUGAAUCAUCAUCCCCAGUGUCCCCAUAAUCAUUGUUAUCUGCUUCUGAUCUACUCUUCUGAUUGUUAGCUGAUAGCUCUGCUAUUUCUUCUCUCGGGAAUGUCAUUUUCACAAUAAUCAAAGUACAGGGGGAUGGCUAAGAAGAGACUCUGUGAGAUGAUGGUAGUCACUCAUAAAGGGGGCUGAGCCAAUAGACAAGAUGAGAGAAGGAAUAAAAAUGGAGAGGUGAUGGAUUAUCAUGUAUCAUACUUGGAAGUGGAGUGGAAAUGGAUAUUUUUCAAUUUUAUCGUGUCCUUGUCCGUGGCCCCAAUUAGAUGCCUGAUAUUUCCAGAAAUAUGCUUAUGUCAAGGUUUAGUCUCCACUCUUCACCAUUUCUGAUUAUUUGUUUCACUUUUUUUCCAACUCCUGUUGUUGUGGGAGUACCUUAUGCUCUUGACUUCUACAUCCAUCGAACUUUUUCCAUCACAAUCAAAUCUGAAUCUUGAAAAUUGUAAUAUCAACUGUCUGCCAUGGACUUGUUGCUUUGUUAUCAGUCCUGGUUUGAACUUGGGACAAAUAAAGAUGUGCUGGCUUUGUCUGAAUUCCAGAGUCUACAUCCCUCAUUCACACAUAGGCAUCAUCUCAUGCCCUUCACCUUCCAUGAAUUAAUUCGAGCCUAGAGUCGUGCUUUUUCUGAUGCAAUAGCAAUUAUUUCUAGACAAAGAAGCCCAUAGAUAGAGCCCUCUGCUUUGGUAGAUUGGACAGUAAGCUCAGAUUUUGAGCAUUUCUAGUUUUCCAUAUAUGGGUUUUGGGAUCCCCAAGUCUGUCUUCAAGUGGAAAUGGAACUUUCGUCUUUCCUGGACAAGUGGUGGGCAGAGGCGAGUGUGUAUGUUAUCGUGUUGUAAAAAUAGAGUGCAUUGAAGAACCCAGUUUCCCUCCACUUGUGGUGCUUCCUUGGAGAUGAUUCGACGUCAAUUGUGGAAUGAUGACUCAGGCGCUUGAAUCAUAGACUUGUCUCAUCCAUUGCCCACUCCUCAAAAAGAGAAGUUAGUGGCAACAAAGAUGGAAAUUAUUUUGUGUCUUCUUUUAUUCUUUAUAUGGAAUGUAAAAUGUACCGACUUUUUCACUAAUGGGAUGGUUCUGUAACGCGUUUUUGGCCCCAAACUAUCACCUUUCUAAAUGAAACAGCAACUAUGUACGACACUUCCCGUGCUUUUGAGUGCGUACAGAAUGGCCAAUACUUUCUCCUCAUCUCAAGUUCUCAACUACAAUUCCAAGUACAAAACUACCAGGUCCAACAGAGGGAUAUCCUGAUGUUUGAGAAGAUCAACCACGCAAAAGCAAAGCCCUACUCAGUUUUGCUGCUUAUGCCUUUCAGACCUACACUAUCCCAUAAGGUAGUUGAUCAAUGCCAUGGGUGGAGCACAUUUGGAUUCGAACUUAAUAGAGAGGUAGUGGGCCAUGUUACAGUCACCCAAUUUGUACAGGAAACAACUUCAAUACAACAAUUUCUAAACCAAUACACAAACAGCAUUCAAUGUUUGAACCUACAGAGGCUCACAGCUGCAACAACAGAAAAAAAAUACCCCUGUGAAAAUCGAAAUAGUUCUUCCACCACAGAGUACAUGAAAUUAUUUAAGUACAAAUUUUGAAACCCAAUACACAAAUGAAGUCUCAGAGAAAGGGGUGGCAGUCUUAUCACCUUCACUGUUCGAACUGACACUAAUGGUGCCAUCAUUCCCCCAGUUAAUGUUACAAUAGAACACAGGUGAAAUGGUUCACAGAAAACAUUUUUAUGAGAUACAACUGAAAAUCUUCCAAGCCUUACAUUUUAAGAUCCAAAACACAAACUAAUUUGUUGACAAAAGAAACAGCAAUUUUGUCACUACUCUUGUUCCAACUGAUGUCUGUAACUCCACCACCUCCAUAGUACGAUUUGAUAAGCCUUCCCUCUUUCACCGACCAGACAUAGAGCCAGUUGUCUAAAGAGCCACUUGCCAAGUACUCCCCAUUGGGGCUAAAUUCAAUUGUAUAUAUGAUAUUCCUAUGGUUGCAGCAAAAUACCCAUGUCAAAUAUGUAACAACACUGUUUCAUUCUGAGGCAUCAGAAAGAUUGAGGUGAGUUCAGGGUCCAAACCUUAUUAUUGACUAACAAAACCUUAAAGUUAGAAAAGUGAUGAAUCUUUCCCAGCAGAACCCUCAAGAGGUGUUCGUAUAGCUUACAUCUUUUUAUAGAAGCAUUUUGAAACUUUGGGGUGCGAGUGCUUCUUACAAAAUCUACUUUAGCCUUUAUACCAGAUGCCGUAUUUUUAUUUAGAGCAGAUGGUUCAUCUAGAAGUCUUUUCAACACAUACUAAAUGAAAAAGAUCAACUGAUUAGUGACACACAGCACUCAUGUCAAGGGGUCGAAGCUGUGAUGUAAUAAACCCAGUAGAUUUGGCAGGACAAAAAAAUAAAAACCAAGUGAUCUCUUCCUUGUUCUUAAAUGAGGGGUGCAGACACAUGAUAUGGUUCACAUCAAGGUGUGACCAAAUUAAAUCGCUCAGGCCCAACUUCAAGCAUGUUGGCCAUGACUACAGGUAUGUUCAGUCAGUACCUUAUACUUGGGACCUUGCAUAGUCCCAAUAAAUUUCAUCUGACAAAUAGGAGAGGCAGUGGAAUGAUCAAGUUUGUUACCUGUGGCGAGUCAGGCCAUAUAUAGGGUUCCCUCGCUCCACAUCCCAUACAUUUAUGGUGUUAUCAAAAGAUGAACUACACAAAACAAGGAAUACAGUUAAGCUAGAGCACAGGAAACAGGAAUAUAUGAAGUAAACAUGAUAAUAAAAUAUGCAUGAAUGUUAAACCUAGCAAACACAUAUACACAUAUAUGUGCCUACACUACUAUAUACUUAAUGCAGUUGGGGUUUUGGUGUAAUCCUUUCAAACUAAGCUAGAUCAUCACCUUUUUCAAACAAUUCUAUCACCAAAAUACACAAGACAAAUUUGAUAUGAUAAAAGAAACUAGACAACCUUAAUUACAAACAUGUCCUUGUAAAAGGUAAAGAAUAAUUUUAUUCUCUCUAAUGGACUCUCUCCCAAUGGAUUCUCUAACAAGAUAAAAUUUUGAGGCAUGUUAUCGUGUCUGUCUGAGAAAUAAAUAGACUCCAUUUGAAGAAAAUACCAUUUUCAAAGAUAAAGUAAUGAGAAUUUUUAAUUAUACCAUAAGUAAUAGAUGAAUAUAUAUGACCUGGAGAAACCAUAAGACAACAAGGGUGUCUUGAAAAGCAAGAUUUACUCAGCUGAUUUGGAAUGGUGCAACAGCAAACCAUGGUUCAACUACAACAUCAAGGUUAACUUCAUCAAUGAUGAAAUAUUCUCACUUGAUCUAUGACUUAAAAUUUGUGAGACAAACAUUUCUCCCUUGUUGGUUACUGACAUUAGCUUGUUAGUGACUGUUAUAAGUUGCAUCAGUACCUGCUUUAACAAUGAUAAAAAUUACUUUGUCAAAGAAGUGGCAUAUUCACCUAGCCAGUAGUAGUGUCAGAUUCGGGUUAUCUGUCGUAGGCCCAGUAGGACUCCAUUCAAUACAGUAUACCUCCUGCAAAUAAUUAGAUAUAUUCCCAGUGAAAUUCAGAAAUUAAAAAAAAAAAAAAACAUGAAAAACCAAAAAAGGAGAACUCUAAGUCUAAUACCCUCUUGUGACUCCUCAAAUCGCGCACAAACGAAUUGUGAUUCAUACUCCAUAUCUGUCACAUGCUUCAUUUAGUUGUCAGUGCAAAUUGUAAUAAGUAUUUAAUGGAAAAAAUGCAUCAAAAUGGAAAGCCUUUGACAUCUAUAAACUCCACUGGCAUCAUCUUAACUAUUUGAAAUUAUGAAAUACUUAACCUAAUAUUAAAUAUAAGUAUUAUUAACAACUUGUAAAAGGAAUAAAAGAGAGAUGAUCAAAAUUGAGAAGACAUUUCUGCUGAAACCAAACCCCGCUGUUCACCCCCCAAAAAAAAAGAGGACAAAAGAAGAAAGAAUCAAAAGAAAAGAGGAAAUGUUAUACUGCUUCCAAUUUACUUGGAAGAUACAAAUACAUAAAAAGAAUGCAAAUGUAUCAAGAAAAAUUACAUGGGUUUACAUGGCCAUUUAUAUAAGGCAAGAAUGAUAUAAGAAAACCAUAAACAUGAUGCAACUAAGAAUGCCAUUAUGCUAAUACCAUGUUUCAAUAUUAGCACAGCAAAAGAGAUGAAAUAAUAGAUGUCUUCAUGAACAGAUCAAUAUUUAACAUCUAGAAGUACAUCUUAAUGAUCUCAUAAUUCAGAAGUAAAUCAAAUAGUUAAAGAAAGAAAUAGCCUCAAUUACCUAAAGUAGGAGAGGUCAUAAAGAAAAGUAAUGAAAUAGUUAAAAAAAUAAAUAGCUUCAUAUCA